AGCUUGUGGUUGGUGUUGAAAAAGAAGUGAAAAGCCUUACCAGCCACCUUCAAGCCAUUCAAGCUGUUAGCGAUGAUGCAGAGGAAAAGCAAGUGAAGGACAAAGCUAUUAGACUUUGGCUGGGUAGGCUCAAGUACGCAUCCUACGACAUUGAAGAUGUGUUGGAUGAAUGGAUCACGGCAAGAGGCAAAUUGCAAAUUAAGGGUGGCGCUGAUAAGAAAAAGAAGGUUUGUUUCUGCUUUCCCGCCUCUUGUUUUGGAUUCAAACAAGUCUUUCUACGUCAUGACAUUGCCAACAAGAUCAAAGAAGUCAGUGAAGAGCUACAUGAUAUUGCCACCCAAAAAGACAUGUUUAAAUUUGAGAGUAGCAGUAAAAGUAGUGAAAGACCAAGGCGUGUGCAGAGUACCUCCUUGAUUGAUGAGGAAGAGAUUUGUGGUAGAGUUGGUGAGAGGAAUGCACUCUUAAGCAUGCUGUUGUGUGAGAGCAGUGAGCAACAAAAAGGCCUUCAUAUCAUCUCAAUUGUUGGUAUGGGAGGCAUCGGGAAAACAACUCUUGCACAACUAGCAUGUAAUCAUGUUGAGGUAAAGAGAGAGUUUGACAAAAUUUUAUGGGUGUGUGUAUCAGAAACUUUUGACGAGUUUAGGAUUGCCAAAGCGAUGCUUGAAGCUUUGACUGGUUCAACUUCUAAUUUAGAUGCAUUGCAAUCUCUUCUUAUAAGUAUUGAUGAAUCUAUUGCGGGAAAGAGAUUUCUUCUUGUCUUAGAUGACGUGUGGGACGGAGAUUACAUUAAAUGGGAACCAUUCUACCGUUGCCUAAAGAAAGGUCUCCAUGGAAGUAAAAUUUUAAUUACGACACGUAAGGAGUCAAUUGUGAGCAUGAUGAGAUCCACAGAUAUUAUCUCUAUCAAGGAAUUGGCUGAAGAAGAAUGUUGGGCAUUGUUUAAGCGGUUAGCAUUUUUCGGUCGUUCCACUGAGGAGUGUGAAAAAUUGGAACAAACUGGUCAAAGAAUUGCAAGAAAGUGUAAAGGUUUACCUCUUGCUGCAAAGACAAUGGGAAGUCUCAUGAGCUCUAAAAAAAUUGAAGAAGAGUGGAAAAGAAUUUUAAAUAGUGAUUUAUGGAAGGUAGAAGAGAUCGAGAAAGGUGUUCUAACCCCUUUGUGGUUGAGUUAUAACGAUUUGCCAUCUAGAGUAAAAAGAUGUUUCUCGUAUUGUGCUGUCUUUCCAAAAGACUACAAUAUAGAAAAAGACAAACUAAUUACUUUGUGGAUGGCUCAAGGUUAUCUUAGUGCAGAAGCAGCAGAACAAGAUGAGGAGUUGGAGACUAUAGGUGAAGAGUAUUUUGGCAUCUUAGCUUCUCGCUCUUUCUUUCAAGAGUUUGAGAAACGUUAUGAUAAUCGUAUUAUAGCGUGCAAGAUGCAUGAUAUGGUACAUGAUUUUGCCCAAUUUGUUAGUCAAAAUGAAUGUUUUUCGUUGGAAGUUAAUGGUAGUGAGGAACUAAACGUCACAAACUCUACAAACUCUCUUGAUGAGAAGGUCCGUCAUUUAAUGUUAAUCUUUAGUAAAGGGGCUUCAUUACCGGUUUCCACUCUUAGAGUUAAAAGAAUGCGUACCCUCUUAAUUAACGAUAGUAGAUCUGAUCAUUCAUUAUUAAAUGGUGAGAUCCUAGAAGAAUUAUUUAGGGAGUUGACAAGUUUAAGGGCAUUAGAUUUUGGCAAAUCGUAUAACUCAAGUUGGUAUUCGACUCUGGAGAUUCCGAGAAACAUAGAAAAGCUGGUACAUUUAAGAUACCUUAAUUUGUUUUAUCAGGGAAUAAAGAAACUACCGGAGACAUUAUGCGAGUUGUAUAAUCUAGAAAAGUUAGAUAUUAGUUUAUGUUUUAAUCUUAAAGAAUUACCUGAAGGGAUUGGGAAGUUAAUAAACAUGAAGCAUUUACGAAAUAGAGGUACUAGUUCUUUAAGGUACAUGCCAGUAGGGAUUGGGAGAUUAACGGGUCUCAGGACCUUGGAUGAGUUCCACGUGAGUGGAGGAGGAGGUGUUGAUUGUAGGAAAGCAUGUAGGCUUGAAUCUCUCAAAAACUUGGAAAACCUUCGAGUGUGUGGUAUAUGUAGACUGGGUGAUGUAUCAGAAGUGGGCGAGGCUAAGCGAUUAGAACUUGACAAAAAGAAAUACCUCUCUUGUUUGAGACUUCGGUUUGAUAAGAAGAAAGAAGAAGGAGAAAGGAGGAAGAACGAGUACGAUCAACUUCUUCUUGAAGCCCUACAACCACCUCUCAAUUUAAAGGAAUUAGAGAUAGAGUACUACCGAGGCAACACUGUUUUCCCCAGCUGGAUGACGUCAUUAACCAACUUAAAGAGUUUAGAUCUCUCUUCCUGUGAAAAUUGCGAGCAGCUGCCUCCUUUGGGAAAAUUGCCAUCCCUUGAAAAUCUCCACAUAUAUCGCAUGGAGAGUGUGAAAAGAGUGGGUGAUGAAUUUUUGGGGAUAGAAAGUGAUCAUCAUGGCUCAUCUUCAUCGGUUAUUAUUGCCUUCCCCAAAUUGAAAUCACUCACAAUUUCUUUGAUGCUGGAAUUGGAGGAGUGGGAUUAUGGGAUUACAAGAACGGGAAACACCGUCAUCAUCAUCAUGCCACGUCUUUCUUCCUUGACAAUUGGGAAUAGUCCCAAAUUAAAGGCACUGCCCAACCACAUUCAUCAAACGACAACAUUGAAGACAUUGCGCAUUUGGAGGUGUGACCUUCUGGAAGAACGUUACCGCAAGGGGGAAGGAGAAGACUGGCCUAAGAUAUCACACAUUCCCAAUCUCCAUUUUGGGCUUUGACAAGUAAUUUCUUCUCUUACUCUGAUUUGCUUUGUUGUUGUUUUUAAUCUAAUUAAGAAGCGUAAAUAGCAUUUUGAAUCAAACUCUAUAUCAGAAAUCUGCAAUACUUACUUUCUAAUAUUCUGAUUUUCAUAUCCUAUGAAUAUACGAUUUUUAAUUUGUGGGAUGGGUAACGUUACUGUAAAAGAUUAUUAAUGCAAUAUGAGUAAUUCUUUUGCAGGACAAGUGGCCUACAUUUAGUUUGGCUUUGGAGUUGAAUAAUAACCUUUCGAGGUCCCGACAACCAAAAAACGAAACUUAAUUUGCCACAGAUUGCACGUAUUGCCAUUAUUGACAAUUUUCUGCACAAGCUUAGGUUGAUGUCAAAAGAGGUAAAUUAUUGGCAUGCCUGACUAUUUUGACCAUUACAUGAUUCAUAAGUUUACAUUAAUUUUGAUUUUGAGUUGAGUGAUUAAUUUUCUAGGUUUGCUUACUUUAACUGGGUGACCAAUUUCUUGUAACCAAAUGUAUGAUGUGAUGCAGGAAGCAGGGCAGGACAUGAAAAGAGAAGCUUAUUAGAGGAAGGAUUGCCAGUAACAGAAUCCAAAGAAAAAGAAACCAUUUCGAGGCAGCAGUUGGCAGUUGGCAGUGAAUGGAGCCCCUUGAAAAAACCCCCAAGCGGUUGCACUGCAAUUACGAUCAUCCUCGGCCUCAGGUAAUUUCUUCUCCUGCAUUUUUGUUAUUUGCUAUCAAGUGACUAUUUUAAGUAUGAUUGCAUUAAGCUGCUGCUGGGAAAUUUGAGGUUUUGAUGACUGCCCAUGCUAUUGUAAGAAGCUGCGGUUCUUUUCAUCAGCCUGAACCUGGACCUGCCGCUAUGGAUAACUCAGUUUUUCUUUUUUUUAAUCAACUGCCAUCUUUUCCACUGUUUAGAAACUCUUUAAGAUUAAACUUUAGUAAAGUUGUUUUAGUUAUUCAUGUAAUCAGGCUGAGGAUACUUAGCUGCCUAUUUAGGCAAAUGUCAGAAUUUAGUUUGUUCGCUGGGUACUGGUGGGGACUGGCAAAGGAUGAUGAGAUAGUUUUUUGAGUGAGUAAAUUUUGGGAGCUUGAGUGUAUUGGGAUUUGCAAUUACAAUCAUCGUCUGCCUCAGGUGAUUCUUUUUCCUGCUCUGUCAUUGUUUGUUCUCUAAUUCAAAAGCAUAAAAUAUUUCAAUCAAUUUUUAUGCCAGGAAUAUGCAAAAGUUUCUAAUAUUUUAUUUCCAUCUGUUACAAGAUCAAACUGAAGCAGAACUCAAACAAAAGUAUGCUACUUCUUGCGGAAAUCUUGCCUUUGUUCAGAUUAUGAAACCAUUUCCAUGCAGCAAAUUCAUCCAAAAGUUUGAAUAAGUUUCACGGUUGGACACUGUUGGCUUCUUUUUCUUCUGGGGUGCAUUUAGGUGCUAUCAAGUGACAGCUGUAAGUAUGAUUGCACUAAGCUGCUGCUGGGAAAUUUGAGGUUUUGAUGGCUGCCCAUGUUAUUUUCAAUAAACUAUUGAUGUAAGAAGCUGUGGUUCUUUUCAUCAGCUUGAACCUGAAACUGUCGCUAUGGAUAACUCAGGUUUUUGUUAUCAACUAUAUCAUCUUUUUCACUAUUUUGAAACUCUUAAGAUUAAACUUUAGUAAAGUUGUUUCAGCUAUUCAAAUGAAAAACUCAUUGAUUUGAGAAUUCCUUCAUUAUUGUUUCUAAUUACAAUGCUAACGAUCCAGAUAAAAUAAUAUUUAAUCGGCGAAGGUGUCCCUUGGAAGUACAUCCUUCUUUUUCUUUUAUUAUAUCAAUUCUUGCAAUGAGCUUAGUGAAGCUGUUGUGCUAAUCAUGCCACUGCAUAAUUUGGCCCCUAAUGUGGGUACUCUGUUACAUUGUUCUGCAAAUUCUCCAGAAGUUAAAAUCAAUAAAUUUUCUAUUAGCUCUAGUGCUUUGACCUAAAUGCUAUUCUAUAUUCUGAUUACAAUGUUUUAACCUUUAAAUUAACUACCCCUAGAUGUUGGAUUUUCUAGAACUUCAAAAUGAUUAAUGGAGAAAGAUCCCAUUAUCGUUAUUGCUAUAAGAAAUUGAUUUAUGCAUCCAAAGAUACAUUAUAUAUUUCUGUGUCUCUAUUUAUAGAUGACAUUUAAGCAUCCAUAAACCGUCAGACAGAGGAAGGGGGUUCAGUGCAAAGAUUCUGUUGACCUAGGGUUGACUGCAUAUGUCACUUGUUCGCAAUCUAUUAUUUAUUUUAUAUUUUGAAGAAUUUAAUGGGUAAUCCUAAUUGUUUGUUUUGGCAGGUAUGUGUUGUUAUCUCCUUCUAUCUAACAGUCGUACCUAAAUAGCAUAGUUUCAUCUGUGUUACCAUGUGAUGUACAUAAUUUCACAUUUGCCUCAGAUUAAGCUUAAUUUCCCACAGAAUAGAGCUGUCGCGACUGGACUUAGGUUGAUGUCCAAAGAGGUAAAUUAUUGGUAUGCCUAGAUAAUUUGGCCAUUUCCUAAUUCAUAAGUCUACAUUAAUUUUGAUUUUGAGUUGACUGAUUUCUUUUCAAGGUCUGCUUCCUUAACGGAGUGACCAAUGUUUUUCAACUAAAUUUAUCAUAUGAUGCAGGAAGCAGGGCAGGAUAUGCAAUGAGAAUCUCAUUGGUGGAAGUAUUGCCAGUAACAGAACCCAAAGAAAAUGAAACUGUUUCAAGGCAGCAGUUGGCAGUUGCAAGUGAAUGGAGGCCCUUGACAAAAUUCUCAAGCGGUUGCAAUGCAAUUACGAUCAUCCUCAGCCUCAGGUAAUUUCUUCUCCUGCUUUGUAUUUAUUUGUUAUCUAAUUAGGAAGCGUAAAGUAUCUUGAAUCAUUUUCUGUAUCUGGAAUAUAUGCAAGAGUUUCUAAAAUUUUGAUAUGAGUGUGAUGAUGGUAAUUUCUGUUUUCUGUCUGUCUUCAAAUGUUAGAAAACUUUCAUUGAGACGCUUGAACCGAGUCAUUUUUGACAAGUGAAGUGCUGAAGAGUGAAGAGUAAGAAUGGUGCUAGAUUGGGGAAUAAAGCAAAAGGAGGUAAAUUAUUGGCAGCUUCUUCAGCCUUAUUUUCUUUGGACCAGUGCCUAACUCACAAGUCUCCAUAAUUCGGCUUUUGACCAGUUGAUAGAUAAAAUUUUAAUUUCAUUGGUGCUAAUGUACCCGUGAAGCAGGCAGAGAAGGACUGUGGAAAAGAGAAGGUUUUUAGUGAAAGCUUAAACUCAGGUAAUUCUAAAAAUUAUAUGUUUUGGCUGAUUUAUCUAAAUCAGGAAAUUUUAUUUCCAUCUGUUACAAUAAAACAGAAACAGAACACAAAGAAAAAUAUUCUACUUCUUGUGGCAAUCUUGCCUUCAUUCAGACUAUGAAACCAUUUCCUUUCACCAAUUUCUUCCAAAAUUUUGAACACGUUUCAUGGUUGGACAUAGUUAUCUUCUUUUUCUUUUGGUGCAUUUAGGUACUAUCAAGUGACAGCCAUAAGUAUGAUUGCAUUGUUGGGAAAUUUUAGGUUUUGAUGGCUCCCCAUGUUAUUGCCAAGAAAUUUUAAGUCCUCAUGUCAGAAGCUGCGUUUCUUUUCAUCAGCCUGAACCCGAACCUGUCACUAUGGAUAACUGAGGUUUUUGUCAUCAACUAUAUCAUCUUUUUCACUGUUUUGAAACUCUUAAGAUUAAACUGUUGAGAAGUCAAUAUUAGCCCAAAUAAGUCCACACCUAAAUUAAUUUGAUGUCAUUGCUUACAUCAAUUUAGUUAGGUGAAUAUUAGCCCAAAUAAGUCCACACCUAAAUUAAUUUGAUGUCAUUGCUUACAUCAAUUUAGUUAGGUGAAAAUUAGGUAUUUUUCCCAUGUUUAAUUUCAAUGGUUUAAAUUAGUUUGUGGUUAUUUUAAUGAGUGGUUUAGAUUGUUUCUUGUAACCUAUAAAUACCUCAUUUGUAUUUGAGUUUUAUUAUUCAACAAUAAAAAGCUUUAUUAUAAGCAUUUGAAAGCUUUCUUAAGAGUUCUUCUCUUUUUGCAAUUUUGUGAGAUUAUUCUAAAGAGAGUUUUUCUUCUUCUUGAUCAAUUAGAGUUUUUACUCUAUUUUGAUUCAACAUUUGGUAUCAGAGCAUUGGUUGUAAAGUCUCUUGAAAUUCCGAGUAUGCUCUGUGGUUGCAGUUUUGACUGAUCUUCCACAUCAGAAAAGAUUUCUUGAGAUUAUUGCUGGGGUUAUCACAAACCUUGAGAGGGAGCUUCUUUGUGUCAAGAGUAGUGUAUUAUUCUGCACGGUAGUCACUCAAGAUUGUUCGGUGUAGUCAAAGUCUUGUCGAUACGAUGGGUGAUCUUCAAGUUGUUGGAGGAAUCAAGAAGCUCAACAACCAAAACUAUAACACGUGGGCAACGUGUAUAGAAUCUUACCUUCAAGGUCAAGACUUGUGGGAGGUUGUCGGUGGUAGUGAAGUUACACAACCGGCAGCGGAAGAUGCUAACGGCGUCUUGCGGAAGUGGAAAAUUAAAGCAGGCAAAGCAAUGUUUGCUUUAAAGACCACAAUAGAAGAAGAAAUGUUGGAGCACAUUCGGGAUGCUAAAUCACCGAAGGAAGCGUGGGACACCUUCGCUACACUCUUUUCGAAGAGGAACGAUACAAAAUUGCAACUUCUCGAGAAUGAACUUCUAUCAAUGGUGCAACGCGACAUGGCGGUUGCCCAAUACUUUCACAAGGUGAAGUCGAUAUGCCGUGAAAUUUCAGAAUUAGAUCCGACAGCUGCUAUUGGGGAAGCCAGGAUAAAAAGAAUAAUUGUCCAUGGCUUGAGACCCGAAUACCGAAGCUUUGUAGCCGCUGUACAAGGAUGGCCGACACAACCAUCACUUGUUGAGUUUGAAAAUUUGCUGACAGGCCAAGAAACUAUGGCCAAGAAAAUGGGAGGAGUCUCACUAAAGGGUGAAGAGGAAGCGCUUUACACCAACCAAAGCAGAGGUGGUUCAAGACAGCACAACAAAGGCGGAUCUAGAAAGACUGGUGAACAGACAAAAAGUCAUCAGGGAGGGAAUGGCUCUCGUCCAGGGGGAGCUUCGAAGAAUCGUGACAGUAAUAGAAAGUUCGAUGGCGAAUGUUACAAUUGCGGGAAGAAGGGCCACAUGAAGAGAGAUUGUUGGUCCAAAAAGAAGUCUACCGAAAGCAAUAUUGCUACUUCUAGUUCUAAAGAAGAUAGUGAAGAUAGCUGGGAUGCCGAAGCAUUACUCGCUAUGGAGGAAGAAGAAUUAGCUCUCACGGUAACAACACCAGAAAAGAUUAACUACGAGAAUGAUUGGAUCGUAGACUCAGGCUGCUCAAAUCACAUGACGGGUGAUAGACAGAAGUUGCAAAACUGUUCUGAGUACAAGGGAAAUCGUGUGGUGGUAACAGCUGACAACUCAAGGUUACCGAUAGCUCACAUCGGUAAAGCGAUCGUUACACCUCGAUAUAGUCCCAACCAAGUGCCACUUCAAGAUGUCUACCAUGUUCCAGGAAUGAAGAAAAAUUUGCUAUCCGUAGCUCAAUUGACAUCAUCAGGCCACUAUGUCUUGUUUGGUCCACAAAAUGUGAAGGUAUUUCGAGACCUGAAGAUCUCAGAAAACCCUACGAUGGAGGGACGACGAUUGGAGUCAGUUUAUGUGAUGUCAGCUGAGUCUGCAUACGUAGACAAGACAAGAAGGAAUGAGACGGCAGAUCUGUGGCACAUGCGGCUAGGUCAUGUUAGUUAUUCCAAGCUAAGUGUGAUGGUGAAGAAGUCGAUGCUUAAGGGACUUCCACAACUUGACGUGAGAACAAAUACUGUUUGCGCGGGAUGUCAAUAUGGUAAAGCACAUCAAUUGCCAUACGAGGAGUCGAAGUUUAAAGCAAAGAAACCAUUAGAGUUAAUUCACUCUGAUGUGUUUGGACCAGUUAAGCAACCAUCAAUUGGCGGAAUGCGGUAUAUGGUUACGUUCAUUGAUGAUUUCUCCAGAUAUGUAUGGGCUUUCUUCAUGAAAGAAAAAUCUGAAGCAUUCUCAAAGUUCAAAGAGUUCAAAGAGAUAGUCGAAGGAGAAGUGGAGCAAAAGAUUCGUUGCUUGCGCACAGACAACGGGGGUGAGUAUAGCUCGAGAGAGUUUUCUCAAUACCUACGGGAAUGCCAAAUACGUCAUCAGUAUACUUGUGCCAAUACGCCACAACAAAAUGGUGUAGCAGAGAGGAAGAAUCGGCACCUUGCUGAAAUUUGCCGGAGUAUGCUACAUGCGAAGAAUGUACCUGGAAGAUUUUGGGCCGAAGGUAUGAGAACUGCAGCUCAUGUCAUCAACAAGCUUCCUCAACCAAGGUUGGAGUUUGUUUCACCCUUUGAGAAAUUGUGGAACAAGAAACCUACAGUUAGCUAUUUUCGAGUAUUCGGUUGUGUAUGCUAUGUAUUUGUUCCUGACCAUCUACGUAGCAAGAUCGAUAAGAAAGCAGUCAGAUGUAUCUUUGUGGGAUACGACAAUCAGCGAAAAGGGUGGAAGUGUUGUGAUCCAGUAGAUGGAAGGUGCUACACAUCACGAGAUGUGGUGUUUGAUGAAGCAUCCUCAUGGUGGACCUCAGAAAAAGAAGUGCUGCCAGACUCGAAAGAAUUCGGAGACAUGCUACAACAAAAGAUGGGGGAGCAUACUGUCCAAAUUCAUCUAAGCUCAGCUGGGGAUCUAUGCGAUAGUGAUAGCGAACGAAGAGUAACUCUAAAUCCUUGGCAAUCUGGGGUGUAUCGACAACCAGAUGAAGAAGGUGUGCCUAGUGAAACAGAAGAAUCAACUCCAUUACGAAGGUCAACAAGAACCCGAAGGCCAAAUCCCAAAUACGCUAAUGCAGCCAUAGUUGAAGAAGCAACUGGAAUAGAACCUGAGACGUUCGAAGAAGCGUCACAGAGUUCUGAGUGGAUGACAGCUAUGAAAGACGAGAUCACUGCACUUGAGCAAAAUCAGACCUGGGAACUCGUGCCAAAGCCAAAAGAUGUGAAACCCAUAUCCUGCAGAUGGGUUUACAAAAUAAAGCACUGUCCAGAUGGGUCAAUCGAGAGGUACAAGGCUCGAUUGGUAGCUCGUGGUUUCUCUCAACAAUAUGGACUAGAUUAUGACGAAACGUUUAGUCCAGUGGCAAAACUUACAACCGUCCGAGUCUUACUUGCACUUGCAGCCAACAAAAGCUGGAACUUGUGGCAGAUGGACGUGAAGAAUGCCUUUCUCCAUGGAGAGCUGGAUAGAGAGAUCUACAUGAUUCAACCGAUGGGUUUUCAGAACCGAGGUCACCCUGAGUAUGUGUGUAAACUGCGAAAGGCUCUCUACGGACUAAAACAAGCACCCAGGGCGUGGUAUGGCAAGAUUGCUGAAUUUCUAACUCAAAGUGGGUAUUCAGUAACAUCUGCAGACUCCAGCUUGUUUGCUAAAGCUAAUGGAGAAAGGAUAGCUAUUGUGCUCGUGUACGUAGAUGAUCUAAUCAUCACUGGAGAUGAUGUUGAAGAAAUUUUCCGAACAAAGGAGAACUUGUCAGUUCGUUUUCAAAUGAAAGAACUUGGACAACUUAAGCAUUUCCUUGGGCUAGAGGUUGAUCAGACGAAAGAAGGGAUAUUUCUUUGUCAACAGAAAUAUGCCAAAGAUUUGUUGAAGAAGUUUGGGAUGCUAGAAUGUAAGCCGAUCUCAACACCGAUGGAACCAAAUGCCAAGAUGUGUGCACAUGAAGGCAAAGACCUGGAAGAUGCAUCGAUGUAUCGACAAUUAGUGGGUAGUCUAAUCUACUUAACCUUGACUCGACCUGACAUUUCUUAUGCAGUUGGCGUGAUGAGUCGAUACAUGCAAAAUCCGAAGAAGUCUCAUUUAGAAGCGGUUCGGCGAGUACUCAGAUAUGUGAAGAGUACAAUAGACUAUGGUCUUUUAUACAAGAAAGGUGGAAAUUGCAAACUAGUUGGCUACUGUGAUGCUGACUAUGCAGGAGAUCACGAUACUCGCAGAUCAACUACUGGGUAUAUGUUUACCCUUGGAUCUGGAACGAUUUCUUGGUGUAGCAAGAGACAACCGACUGUGUCCAUGUCAACUACGGAAGCAGAGUAUCGAGCAGCAGCAAUGGCAGCUCAAGAAAGCACGUGGCUGAUACAACUAAUGAAUGAUCUACAUCAACCACUAGAUUAUACAGUUCUGUUGUACUGUGACAACCAAUCGGCAAUUCGGCUGGCGGAGAAUCCUGUUUUUCAUGCAAGAACUAAACAUGUGGAAGUGCAUUACCACUUUGUUAGGGAAAAAGUUCUGCAAGAAGAGAUUGAGAUGAGGCAAGUCAAGACAGAUGAACAAAUUGCUGACUUGUUUACAAAAAGCUUGAGUGUUGGAAAGUUUGAACAUUUCCGUCGUCAGCUUGGCAUGAUUCAAAGAAUGGGGGCUAACAUUGAGGGGGAGUGUUGAGAAGUCAAUAUUAGCCCAAAUAAGUCCACACCUAAAUUAAUUUGAUGUCAUUGCUUACAUCAAUUUAGUUAGGUGAAUAUUAGCCCAAAUAAGUCCACACCUAAAUUAAUUUGAUGUCAUUGCUUACAUCAAUUUAGUUAGGUGAAAAUUAGGUAUUUUUCCCAUGUUUAAUUUCAAUGGUUUAAAUUAGUUUGUGGUUAUUUUAAUGAGUGGUUUAGAUUGUUUCUUGUAACCUAUAAAUACCUCAUUUGUAUUUGAGUUUUAUUAUUCAACAAUAAAAAGCUUUAUUAUAAGCAUUUGAAAGCUUUCUUAAGAGUUCUUCUCUUUUUGCAAUUUUGUGAGAUUAUUCUAAAGAGAGUUUUUCUUCUUCUUGAUCAAUUAGAGUUUUUACUCUAUUUUGAUUCAACAUAAACUUCAGUAAAGUUGUUUCAGUUAUCUAUGUAAUCAGGCUAAGGAUAUUUAGCAGCUUAUUUAGGCAACUGCCAGAAUUCAGUUUGUUCGCUCGAAACUUGUAUGGUGACAAGGAUACUGGCAAGGAUAGUGAGAUAGUUUUUUGUGCGAGUGAAUUUUGAAAGCUUGGGUGUUCUGGGAUUUGCAAUUGCAAUCAUCCUCUGCUUUAGGUGAUUUCUUCUCCUCUUCUGUCUUUAUUUUCUCUCUAAUUGAAAGCAUAAAGUAUUUCAAUCAAAUUCUGUACCAGGAAUACGAAAAAUUUACUAAUAUUUUAUUUCCAUCUGUUUGCAUUGAUAACUUGGCCGCUUAUGUACUAGUUAAAGAACAAACAGAAGCAGAGUUCAGGAAAAAGUUUCUUCGGCCACCAUAUUUUAAAAUGAAACCAUUUCCAGGAAGCAGUUGGCAGCAAAUUCAUAGAAAGUAUAGACAAUGAUGAGCAAAAAGGUGAUUCGCAAUUUCAUUUUUUUAAAAUGAAAUUAUUUGUUAAGUUGGAGCUGAUAUUGUUAGAAGGCCAUUGAGCUAACCUAUGACACUGCUUGCCUAGAUUGCAGGAGGUCAAGACUCAAAAGAUGCACUGAAUUUUAAAAGGCAUGCAAUAAUUCUUAUGGCCAUUUGUCAAUGGUGGAAUGCUUUUAGCUUCUUUUCCUUUCGUGCAUUUUGGGGUUCUAUCAAGCGACAGCCGUAUGUAUGGACGGAUAUAGCUGCUGCGUUGAUUUCUAAUGCGUUGUAUGAUGUUAUAGCAACUAUCUAUCUGGUCAAUGUUUCAAAAGAAUAAGACACAGGGAAAAAGAGAAAGCAAGUGGCCAAUCAAGUAUUCAUGUCCCAAAGAAAAGAAUGAUUCGACAAUAGCAUUAAGGGUUAAUUGGACACAACAGAAGUGUUUUAACCACUUCAAGGAAUGUAAAUGUAAUUUUCCAUUCUAAAGAAAAAGUAAAUAUAUGCACUGUCAAUUAAUCUUUGGUCAACCAGCAACAUUCAUAAUUUCGUGUAAGUUUCAUUUCUGUUUGUUGGAAAUAGCAGUGUAUUUCUGAGAGUUUGUUCAAAAUGGAAAGAUUUUAAAAUAUAAAUUUCACAUCUGUUUAUUACUGUUGUUUGGUCUAAUUUCUUAUGUAGAAUUUUCAGAAUCUGUCGGACAUUAGUUUAUAAUUUUGAGAUUUUGCAGCCAUAAAUUUUUUUUUUUUUUGGUUGCCAUUUUAUUUUGCUCCUUUAUCUAUGUGCAUGUUGACUGGCUGCAGUGAGUGAAAAUUUACCCAUAUUUGCUGGCUAUUCUUGGACAAUAUUAGAGAAAAUAAUCAUAUUAUUUCGCGUGAAGUGAACUUCCAUAACUUAUCAAUUGAAUUGCUGUAAAAUAUUAAAUAGUUUUAUUUUUCUUUUAUCGUGUAACUUGGACCAAAAAAGGAAAUGAGUUUAACAUGACCCUCAUUCCGGCACUAUGCAUGUUUUUCUUGUAUUGAUGACAGUGCUCUUGGUGCUUCUCAUCUGCUUCUUGCUUUGGUUUCAAACAAGUCUUUCUCCGUCGAGACAUUUAUUGUAAUUUCAUUUGGAGACAUAUAUCUGUCGUUCAAAUAUAUUUCAUAUGCAAGCUGUUAAUAAUUCUGCUUGCAGAAAGCCUACAAAGCAGCUGUGUGAUGUAAUAGAAGACCAUAGUCUGGUCAAUUUUUCAGCAUUAGAUAUUCAGGUCAUCAGCUUCUCAUGAAUUCUUUCCUGAGUUUCUUUGAAUUAUUUGUGAUGUAAUAACUUGUGCAUUUGAGAAACUGUUCUCUUGAAUUCUUUCUUGAGUUUCUUUGAAUUAUUUGUGAAUAAGUUGUUAAUCGGCUGCUUCUCUUCAGGAUAAGGAAAGUGUUGCAAACUGGUGAAGCAGCUGAUAGAUAAAAGCAAUGGGUACAUCUUUGCUGGCAUGGAUCGAUGCCAGUGCGGUUGAAUUCAGCAAGACUGCCGUUCGUGAUGUUGUUGAUUGGGAUUAUUUUCAACCUUAUGAUUCUCAUAUCCAUAGAACCUUUUGGUUAUUUAAUCAUAUUUCAUCGUAUGCAUCCGCAUCUUCAUGUGCGUUUGAGAAACUGUUUUGCGGUUAGGCAGGUUUCAAUCUUGAUUCAUGCGUCUUUCAUAAAUGUACAAAAUUAUGGAAACUUCUUUUUCCCAGAUAUUAUAUCUGCACUUAUUCCCAUGUAAUCGAGUCAGACAAGUUUUGCUUAACAAAGAUGUCUACAGUCGCUGAAGUGCAGGAGGAGUACAUUAAGGGUGAUGACAACAUUGAUUAACCCAACCCAACCUGUAAAAAAUCACACCGGUUAGGUUGGUUUCACGGAUUGGGCGGGUUGGUGCCCACCCAUAAAUAUAACCUCCAUUUCAGUACAAUGCAUGUUAAUUGUUCUCCAAGGACUUCUCUUGUUUCCCAUUCCCAACCUCCAUGCUCUCGAGAGGAAUUUGGCACCCAUCAAUUUUUAUUUUUGAAAACUCGUAAUGGUCUGAUAAAAUUAAACAACAUCAAUAACGUUACCAGUCUUUAAAUAGUAAUUAAUUUAUUUAAUUUGCCACCUAAAAGAAUCCUGCUGGAAAUAGAGGUUAAAAAUUUUAUUAGAUCUGCUUACCUUUGUUCAUUCAGCAAAAACACUUACAAUUCAUAGCUAGAGAAUCUAUCCAUUGACAAUUGUGGAUUAAAAUUAUAACACCUGAAUUCAAACAUAUCCUUAUGAAGUUAUGAAUUUGUUCAUACUUCAAAUGAUUUUUUUUUCCCCAAGCUAAUAAAGCGACCACUUUGAUCAAACAACGAUGUUGAAGGAAUUGCGUAUUUUCAAUGUCCUUUUCCAGACAGACGUUCGAGAGAGGGAAAGGAGAAGACUGGCCUAAUUAAGAUAUCUCACAAAGAUUAUUAUUGAGUUAAAAUGUUAUUGUAAAAGAUGUUUAAUACAAUAAUAGUACUUCUUUUGCAUUGUUAUAAUGAGGCUGGUGGGUUUCCUCAGAGGAUGGAUCUGGCUCGCUAGUAUGCAUUUGGGAAGCUGCUAAUUAUCGGCCAUAAAAAGUCAGGGGGUUGUGGCUGUUCCGUCGCCCAGAAAUUCCUAAACUCAUAUAUCAAAUUUCGGAUGAACUUGGGCAUUAUGUAAAUAUGUAUUUUUGAGAAUUAAACUAGUGCGUUAGAAAAAUUUUGAGCCACUGUAAUCAUUUGAUUUUGCUAAGAGAAAAUUUUACUCUGUGUUUCGCUUUGCCUUUUGUUUUUUCUGUGAUAAUAUGAUUCAUACGAAUGUGAUUACACACUAUCAUGCAUCUAUUUUCAUUUGCUUGUCAUGAAUGAUCAACAUGCUCGAAAUAUUUAUAUAGGUUGGAAAUAUUUAAAUCUAUUAAAAUACUAUACACACCCAUUUUAAAAUAAAAAUAUGAUUAUUAUAAUGAUCGCGAAGGUAACACGAUAUCAUAAAUAAAAUAAAAUAUUUCGCAAAAAAGAUAAGAUACGCUUGAAUACAUUGGUAUAAAAAAUAUUUUAGUGGAUUCAAGUAGCACUAAUGCUCCCUUAUCAAAAAAUAUAUAAAGAUAACUAAUCUGAUUGGGUAUACCGUGUGUGUGUGUGUAAUAUUUUUUGAUAUUAUUAUAUAAUAUUUUUUAAAAAGAAGAGAGAGUGGGCAAAGUUCAAAUCAAUUUUCUAAUCCCUAUCUCCUUUAGGAUUUAAACUUCGGUGUUUAGUGUCACGGGUCGCUCAAAUUUUCUAGUCAAAGAGGCUAAAUUGCACGAAAUUGUGCUAGCUUAUUUGAUUUUAAAAUUUUCCAAUGCACUGUAACACACUCUCAUGCUUGUACAUAGCUCGAAAAUCUCUAGAAUUUACCAGAGUAGUGUAGCAUGUAGCUUGUACAUAGGUUUUUCUGGAACACUCCAAGCAUUACUAAGCAUAAGAGCUUUGAGAACUCUCUAGACAUAAAACAUUCAAGGGUAGGCCUGCCCUAAAAAUAGGGCAUGAUGAUUGCCAUUUGAGCAUACAAGAAGUAAGAACAAAUCAAGUAUAUUUGUAAGCUCCCAAACUCUCUCGUACACACUCCUGUGAAUAUUAUGCUUUCUCUUUGACUAUAUUACUCUCUCUUCUCUCUAGUUUUUUUUCGCAAGUAUCAUAUCUUAGCUAGUCGAAAAGUUCAAGUAAGAAUGAUAAUUUUUCCUGAUGGGAUGGGAUGGGAUGGGAUCCUGUGGGAUCCCAUCUCAUUUAGGACGGGAUUGGGAUACAUUUUUAUCCCAUAAAAAAAUAUAGGGACGGGAGUAGAACUUUUUUUAUCCCACUUGUAUCUAUGGGACAGGACUGAGAUUAACAAAUCCAGUCUCGUCACGUCUCGUCUCAUUGCCAACUAGGGAUGGAAAUUUUUCCAAUUGAGAUGGGCUCUCACAGAAUCCCAUUUUUUUGGGGAUGCGAUUGAGACAUAUUUUUAUCCCAAAAAAAUAUAUCGACAGUGACACUUUUUUUUAUCCCACUUGCAUAUUCGGGACGAGACUGAGAUUAGUAAAUCCCACUCUAUCCCAUCACAUUGCCAACCCUAAGUUCAAGGCUUACUUUGCAACUAUCUCAUAAAAGUUGUUUUAAGUACCACAGGAGUUUGUUGUGCAAAAUACUCAUCCCGUGACAUUAGCUAAAUAAAAUUGUUUGAAAGCCACUUACCCAAACUAUUAAACAAAUAUUAUUCUUUUAAUAUGCAAUCUUUUAAUAUAAACUUUUGUCUUAAUUUUCUAUCUCCUACAAUAAAUUUUAUGAUUUUAAAAAUUGAAAAAAUUAAUAACUUUUAGAUAGAGCAUUCCUUACUGUUAAAAGAAAUAUGAAUGGUAAUAUAAAACUUACUUAUUAUAGUAUAAUGCUUUUAGUUUUUUGAAAUAAGGUUCUUAUUUUUUUCAAGAUAAAAUUCAAAGAAAACAAGUUAAAUGUUGUGGAAAAUCUUACGCCCAUACAAUAAAUUAUGACAGCUAAAUGCAAACCUGGCUGAAGUAUUAGUUGUUUUAUUACAAUCUCCAAAAAGAUGAGCACUUCCAAAAUCUUUCUUUGUAACAAUAAACACUACUGGUCAGCAACUAUCCAAGUCAAAAGUAACUCAAUGUGAGUCUUAGUGCACUUGCAGUGAAUCCCAAGAUAAACUAAUUUCACUAGCAAGUUGGAUACCAAAGAGUAAGGCUUCAGCCUCAAUUAUAUUAAAAUCUGAGUAAACAUUAAAUACCACAAUCAAACUCAGAAAUCAUAAUUAAACUAUCAUGAUUAAAAAUAAAGUUUUUUUUUUAGAUAUCCGUUUGUAGUAUCUCUUUAGAUGACAAAUAGGAGAUAAAAUAAAUAAAUAUUGGUUGCGUAAAUAAAAUAAAUAAUUUUUUUAACUGAAAAAAAUUCCUAAAAACUAAAUAGUUCAAACUUUUUUUAACAUGAAAUAAAUAUUAGAUGCGUAAAUAUAAAAAAAUUAACUGAAAAAAUUUCCCAAGAACUAAAUAGUUCAAACUUUUUGUUUAACAUCAUGGGUUUUGUAUAUUCAAUUGAACCGAACAACUAAAUUAAAUCGAAAUUACCCUGUUCGGUUCAAAUGAAUAGACGAAAACCGAACAGUUCAUAUUUUUUGAACUGAUGGUGCGUUUACUUCAUGAAAUGAAAAUAUGGUGGAAUGAGAAUGGGCUGGAAAUGAGAAUGUGUUGAAAUGAGAAUGAAGAAUGAGAAUGAGAUUCUAAUGUUUACUUAAUAAAAAUAAAGGGAAAUGAGAAUGUGCUGGAAUGUCAUUGAUGUGUUUAUUUGACAAAAUAAAUGGGAAUAAAGAAUGAGAAUGAGAAUUAAUUUACCAAAAUACCCAUAGUAUUAAAUAAUAUAAUUUUUAUUUUACUAGAUACAUGUAUAAAUAUUAUUAUAAAAAUAAUAUUAAUUAAAAUAAUAAAUGUUAAGAAUGAUAAUAUUAAUAAAAAUAAUAAUAACAAUAAUUAAUAAUAACUAAAAUAAUAAAGUUAAUAAAAAUAACAACAACAAUAAUAAUAAUAAUAAUAAAUGUUAAUGAUGAUGAUGAUGAUAAAUGUUAAUAAUGAUAAUAUUAGUAAAAAAAUAAUAACAGUAAUUAAUAAUAACUAAAAUAAUAAAGUUAAUAAUAAUAAUAAUAACAUUUAAAAUAAUAAAAUUAAUUGUGAUUUGAAUCAGAGUAAUUCGAAAAAUAUAAAAAAAUUAAAAUGAUACAAAAAUAAACAUAAAUUUUAUCCCCGUUCCCUCAUUUUCAUUCUCAAUUCCCCAUGAAAAUAGAAUUCCCAUUUCUUAUUUUCAAAUUACGGAAUCCCCAUAUUUUAUUAUCAUUCCCAAAUUAUAUUUUACCAAAUAAAUAUAAAUUUUAUUCAUAUUUUUUCAUUUCCAUUCUUUAAACCUUCAAGUAAACACAAUUUUCUUUUAAUUCGGGUUCUGGGCCUGAACCGAACCGUACCGUAAACUGCCCACCCUUACAGUAGUUUUCGGGGUUUUUAAUUAAAUAUGCCUUAAAAGUAGUGUAUUUAGUUAAAUAUACCCAUGUUUGAAAAUUAUCUAAGUAUGCCUUUUUAUGUGGUACAUUGUCUAAAAUAUCCCUAAAGAAAAAUAUAAAACACACACACAACUCACAACACUCUUUGCUUCUCACGUAUUUAUCAUCUAUACAAAAACUCACACCACACUCAAAAUCACUCACAAACAGCUAAUGCACUGAGUUUGUUUGCAGUUGGGUGUAUUAUUCAUCCCAUGAAUAAGGUAUUUGAAACUUUUUUUAUUUUAUUUUGGGCUAUCUAUUCAAUUUGUUGACAUUAUAUUAUUUUUAGGGUUUUGUUUGGUUUGUGAUAAACACUAAAGCAACUCAUAUUUUCAUUACAUUUGCAUCAUAUGACUGUUAUUUGAUGGAUUUUAUAACUACAUUCGUUAAAAUCUGAAGUUGUUGUCAAAUUUUUUUCUGCACCCGACAUACACGACAGCAGUCGUGUAUGUAUGUAUUUACAUGACUGUAGUCGUGAAAAUGUGCAAAAAAUUUCAAUUAUUAUGACACCUUAUUAUUCUAUUGGUUCAAAAAAUAUAUAUUUUUCACUAUAUAUAUCCUUUUACUAUUACUAUACUAUAGUCGUGUGUGUGAAUAAGUUACACGACUACUAACGUGUACGUAUAAACUUACAUACUAUAAUUGUUAAUAAGUUACACGACUACUAUGAACCUUAUAUACUUGUUAUUUUUUGUUGUUUUAAUUUUUUUAAUAUCUUUCAUAUUUAGUGAUAAAUUUUUACCUUUUUGUUUCGCAGAUGAAUAAACAUGUUUGUGUGACUUUCUAAGAACAAGUAUUGAAGGGAGGCGACCAGAGACUUAUAAAAUAUGGACUGAGUGUUUGGGUUGAAUAUGCCAAAAAUUUAUGAUGAAUGUUAAAUAACUUCUAUUAUAUUACGACUUAUUUACGAUUUCAAUAAUUAUUGGAUUUGUGUUAUUUGAUAGGCAAUCGAACUAUAGUUAGUUUCAUUUAUUUGAAGUUUGAUAUGUUUAAAAUCUAUAUUGAUUGUGUCAUCAAUAUAAUGAAUGAUUGAAAAGAAUUUUUAUUCUGUGCACAUACCCGAGUACAAUCGUGUAUUUUGGCUGUUACAAAACUAGUCAUGUUUAUUUCUAAAUACUCGACUACAGUCGUGUAUCUGUGCAAAUACUCGAUUAUCACAGAGAGUUUGUCAUAUUUAUUUCUAAAUACUCGACCAUAGUCGUGUAUCUAUGCAAAUACUCGACUACAGUCAAGUAUUUUGUCACAGAGAGCUUGUUAUUUUUAUUUGUAAAUACCCGACUACAGUCGUGUAUAUGUGCAAAUACCCAACUGCAGUCGAGUAUUUUGUCACAGAGCUUAUUAUGUUUAUUUCCAAAUACCCGACCGCAGUCGUGUAUCUGUGUAAAUACUCGACUGCAGUCGAGUAUUUUGUCACAGCUUAUUAUGUUUAUUUUUAAAUACCCGACCACAGUCGUGUAUCUGUGCAAAUACCCGACUACAGUCGAGUAUUUUGUCACAGAGCGUAUUAUGUUUAUUUCCAAAUACCCGACCGCAGUCGUGUAUUUGUGCAAAUACCUGACUGCAGUCAUGUAUUCUCUUACAGUGUAUUCCUUGUGUAUAUAUUGUGCAAACUAUCUUAUCUAUCAUUAAUAUAAAUAACAAAGAAAUAAAAUAUAUUAAUGCUGUCAAUUGUCUUUAAUGACAUCAAAUAUCAAUAACAUCCUCAUUACAACUAUUACAUCUCAUAAUCUAAAAAAUGACACUACAAAGUUUUUUUCCAUGACCUAUGCCCAAAUAAUUUUACAACCAAGGCUUGUCGAAAUUAUGUAACAUGAUUUUGUUGGCAUUAUGAAUUGACAUCAAGUCCAUGGACUAGGACCUCCAAGUACCGCAACAAAAAUGCUCCACAUUCACCACUAAAAAAAUUCAUAUAAAUCAAUUGUUAAAAAUCAUCAUUCUUAUUAUUAUGUUCAAAACACAUUAUAUAUAUAGUACAUACCCUGAUUUUUGUUGCGGGAUGUCACGCACUCGCACGAUGGGCCAAGGAAUUUUCGAAAUAACCUCACUACAGUCUGGAUGUGUUUCGUGAUAUGCUAUCUUCUGAAGUACUAGAGGUAUCAUGUCUGCAACAGGCAGCAAUUGUCUCACCAAAACUGAAUCCUUUGUUAAGUCUAUCAUGGAGUCAUAAAUAGAAAUCUUGCCCCCAAGUAUAUCGACCACACCGAGAACCCAAUGAUCAUUCAUGAAUAUUGGCAAAUACACCUACGAAAUACAGACAAUAUUCUUAACAAGUAACGGCAAAUAUAUCUACGAAAUGCUGUAACUGUUUUUAUCUACUUGCAGUUGAUUUAUUAAUAGUAUACUAUCAAUAGUUUUAUGCUAAAACAAAUAGCAAAUUGUUAAUAAAUUAGAAUUGUAAAAUAAAGGUUCUACAACAAAUAAUAGAGAAAACCCAGAUUGUAGCAUAAUGAAUGCAUACGCAGUUGAAGAAAAUUGAUAUAUAAUUCCCAUGGAUGAAGUUCAACUACAAACAAUAAGUAAAAUUAUAUAAAGAUCUAAUGCAUAAACUAGUGUAGCCAUAACCGAAAAUUCAUAAGGAUAAUAUUUAAUUAGGAACUCCCACAACCAUUAUUAAAGAGCUAUUAAUUCACUCUCUUCAAUUUCAAAUUCACAAGUUAAAGAAGCUUCAUUACAUUACCAACAAGAAAGAUUAUCAGUAAAUAAGCAAGAUAAUGACCAAAAUCAUGUGGGUAAUUUGUUUUUUAAAACCCUAUUGCAUAUAACCCUAACAAUUAUGCACCAUAAAUUCUCUUUAUAAAGUAAAAAAUAAGUGUAAAUGUGGUUAAUGACCUUUAGUUCGGUGAAUUUCCAGCCUUUAAUUCGGUGAUUUUGUAGCCUUUAAUGUGGUGGAUGAACUUGCAGCAGCAGGAGCAUGAACUUGCAGCAGCAGGAGCAUGAACUUGCAGCAGCAGGACAAGCGUUGUGUAUGGUAGCUCGUGAAUGCAGAUUUUGAAAUUUGAAGAAUUAAAUUGGGGUAAUUUUAUAAUUGCACAUUGAAAAAGGUAUAUAAAAAAAAUUUUGAAUUAUGGGGGUAUAGUUGGAUAAAUACCUAACCUUUAGGGUAUAGCGGGGACAAAUCCCUGGUAGUUUUCAUUAACCGACGUUGUACUGCUGGUAUGAAGUUGUUCAAAUGUUCAAAUCAGUCUCUCGCUUUCAGCUCAGUCAGAGUUUCCAGGUCCAGAGACUUCCCGCUGACUGAGAGCUUUUUUAGUAGCAGGUCUACAAAUAAAGGAAUAGAGCUGAUUUAAUGAUUAAUUUAUUUCCUUUUUCAAUUUCUUUUGAUUGCCAUUUAAUCUGGAUAAGUUAAACGUGAAUUAUUUAGUGCAGAUUAAAUGUUCGACGAAUUUCCCGCAAGAAUAUUAAGCUAAAGAGAAAAAAAGAAAACAAUUGAGCGUGAGCGGGAAUGGUGUUUGGCCAAGUGGUGAUUGGUCCGCUCGGCUCGGGAAAGACCACUUACUGCAAUGGCAUGUCUCAGUUUCUCCGCCUUGUUGGCAGGUAACUCCGUUUCUUGAUUUCAAGCAGCUUUAUCUUUGAUGGCCAAAAAAAUUGAUUUGGGCUUUGCCCAUUAAAUGAAUGUAAGAGCGGUAGGGAAUAACUGAGUUAUAGGAUUAGCUUUAAGUGAACAUUGAUGGUAACAUGCAUGUGAAUGUUGUAUGUGUUCAGCGGCAAGCUGUAUGCCAAUUUGGUCUAUAUGGUUGCUUCGGUGGUAACUUAUUAAUUUUUAUGCAGGAAGGUUGCAGUCAUCAAUUUCGAUCCUGCUAAUGAUAGUUUGCCAUAUCCUUUGUCGUUGAACUUUCUUACAAAUGCUGUGGUUUGUUGUAGUACAAUUAGUUCAAUCAGAAACUUCCUUGAUGUUAAUAUAGAUAUGAGUGUGCUGUGAAUAUUGAGGACUUCAUUAGACUAAGUGAUGUGAUGAUGGAGCAUUCACUUGGUCCCAAUGGAGGUUAGUCAGCCCAUUGUUGUUUACUCUUUCUUGCUUUAUCACGCAAUGAUAUUCCUUUGCUUUACAACAAAUUUCGUGAAAUUAACUUCAAUCAAGUGGCUAUGUUCAUACGCUGUUGAGAUUUUAUGGACAAAGAUUUGGUAGACUUUAUAUGCCGUCUUCUUUCUUUUUGCAGUGAUAUGUUUGUCUUCAAUGCACUUGUACUUGUUCUAUGGUUUCUAAAGUAGGUGUUUUUAUGAUAAACUAGGUCUUGUGUAUUGUAUGGACUAUCUAGAGAAGAAUAUUGACUGGUUGCAGUCGAAAUUGGAACCACUUUUGAAAGGUAAGAAGUGGCCAUUUUCCUUCAUUCUAAUGCCAAUAAUGCUGUCAUGAGACUCAUAAAAAUUGUUAAAAUGUUAAUGUUUUUGGUAUUUUGCAGAUCAUUAGCUUCUGUUUGAUUUUCCUGGCCAAGUUGAAUUAUUUUUUCUUCAUUCCAAUGCCAAGAAUUUUAUAAUGAGACUCAUAAAGAAGUUAAAUCUCAGUGUAUUGUUACAUCUUACGUCUAUGAAGGCACUCAAAGAGUUGAGAUGAAUUCAUCAUUGUUAUUUUGAUGCCAGAAUUGUGCAAUUCUCAGUUGCUUCCUUUCACAUGCAGUUGACUGCAGUGCAUCUAGUUGAUGCGCAUCUUGGCAGUGACCCCGGGAAGUAUGUUAGUGCUUUGCUUCUCUCAUUGUCUACGAUGCUCCAUCUGGAACUUCCCCAUGUCAAUGUCUUUUCUAAGAUCGACCUGAUUGAGAAUUAUGGAAAGCUAGGUGUGGUUUUAAGUGUAGCUCUCCUACUUGUUUGUUUAGUUUGAAAUAUCAGAUAUUGUCACAAGCUCCUAUCUGCUACGUUUCCUCACCAUUCAUUUACUUUGGGUAUGUUGCAGCUUUUAAUCUCGAGUACUAUAUGGAUGUGCAAGAUUUGUCAUAUUUACAGCAUGCCUUGGGUCAGGACCCUCGUUCUGCUAAGUACAGGUUUGAAUUCUAGCUGAAUCAAUGAUGCAAAUUAUGUCCAUUGCUAUUUCUGACUAUUGUUUCUAUCAUUUUCAAUUGUUACCUCCCCUUUCCAUCUACUGCCACACUACAAUGCCCACACAAAUAUCAUGAAAUUUUUCAAUGGAAAUGCCUUUCUGUUUGUCCAGAGACAGCUCUUAGAUGCAAGUGACCAAUUUUUGGCUUUGGCCAUGUUACAGCCUUAGAUUUCAAUUUGCCAUAUCUUGUCUCGGAAGUCAAAAGAAAGCAUAUUUGUUAGCCAAAUUUUAUUUGAAUUUCUUGUGUAACAAUGAAUGGGGGAAAAAAAAAAGUUCCUCUUUUGUUUUGAUCAGACUCAAUGAAUAAGUGGUUAAAAUGUGCCUGUACUAGAAAUAUAGAUGUGAGGUUUCAUAAAAUUUUCUUAAUCUUAAGAAAGAGUUAUCUUGAAAAGAAGAUAACAUGGAGAAUUCAACAACUAUACAGUCAUAUUGAUGUCUGUCAACUUGGGUCAUAUGGUGUUGUUUGGAUGGAGAUGUUAGGUCCCAGAUGGUAUACUUGUUAUCAAAUUCCAGUCUACUUCAUUCAUGCUUUGAUGACAUAUGCGGUGCAGCUUCUUAUCUAAGACCUGCAUAUGUUACAGUCAACAUUCUGUUCUGUAACUCAACCUCAGGAAUCUGCUUGUAUGGUGUUCUUCUAAUUUCAAAUGGAGAUAAGUAAUAUCUGUUGUUCAAAUAUAUUUUAUUUACAAGCUGUUAAUAAGUCUGCUUGCAGAAAGCUUACAAAGGAGCUGUGUGAUGUAAUAGAAGUCUACAGUCUGGUCAAUUUUUCAACCUUAGAUAUUCAGGUCAUCAGUUUCUCUUGAAUUCUUUCUUGAGUUUCUUUGAAUUAUUUGUGAAUAAGAUCUUAGUUGGCUGCUUCUCUUCAGGAUAAGGAAAGUGUGGCAAAACCUGUGAAGCUGAUAGGUAAAAGCAAUGGGUACAUCUUUGCUGGCAUGGAUGCCAGUGCAGUUGAAUUCAGCAAGAUUGCCAUUCGCGAUGUUGAUUGGGAUUAUUUCAGAUAUCCUUCUGUUCACUUAUUUUGAAUCUUGUUAUUCUCAUAUUCAUAAAACUUUUUGGUUAUUAUUAUGGUUCAUCAUAUGCAUCUACAUCUUCUAACUUGUUCGUUUGAGAAACUAAUUUUGCCGUUAGGUAGGCUUCAAGCUUGAUUCAUGCUUUUUUCAAAAAUGUACCAAAAUCAUGGAAACUUCUUUUUCCCAGAUAUUGUAUCCACACUUUUCCCAUAUAAUUGGGUCAGACAAGUUUUGCUUAACAAAGAUAUCUACAGUAGCCGAAGUGCUGGAGAAGUACAUUAAGGAUGAUGACGAUGUUAACUAAAAUGGGACGUGAAGAUAUGUGGUGUGCAAACCGUAAGCCUGCCUCUUAUUUUUGUGCAUGUUUACUUGCUUGUGAUUCACGUUUGUUAAUCUAUUUUGCUCUCUUGCAGGAGUUAUAAAGUUUUCAAUCAAUCAAACAUUUUAACUUAAGUCCUUAGCUCUUCACGGCUUGAAUGGGUCAGAUAGGACAAGCGCCGAAGAGGUGGUUUUAAUCAAACCCCUCCUAAUUAUGAUGUAUGGCCCGAAUCUCGGACUUUUUUUACAAUAUCAAGCGAUUUUUUUUAGUUGAAUCGGCUAGUGUACACAAAUGUCGAUUAUUGAUUUUUCUUUAGUAUUGUUUGUAAUUACAAGAAACGAAGUAAUGAAAUUUAUCAGUGCGUUCAUAGUUACGCUUAAGCUCAAAGAUUACCGUCAAGAUCAUCAACCUGCUGAUGAUCUGAAGCUUCCAUAGAAAAAGGAACCGGACAAAACCCAAGAGAGAGAACAAAAAUAAAUUAAUUAAAAAAAAAGAAGAAAAAUUGCCAAAGCUACUGGUCAGUUGACAUCAAUCUUUUGCACGUGGGAUGGAAAUGGAACACUGGGCACUUUGGAUGACUCAUAACUCACAAGAGAGCAUCGAAUUUAGGCCGAAUCAUAUAAAGUACGCUAAGCCUUAGUGCGUGCGCUGUUGCGUUGCUGUGUCUGCCGGUGAGAAUAAUUUUUCGUUUUUAAGGUAAUUUUCAUUUAUUUAUUUAUUUUUUUGGUGCAUAUGGUCGAACACUUGGUGGGCACCUCAGUUUUUGGAAUGUUCUCUUCAAUGAAUACAGGGAAAAAGGGACAAAAAUUAAGAACUUUAUUUUGUUCGCGUGGAAUCGAUAUCUGGAUUGGGAUUGUAUGUCGUGUUUAAUUUGAAUUGGUUGAUUCCUCUAAUGAAUUAUUUGAUAAAUUUAGUAGCAGUAUUUGGUGGCAAAAGUAUCAUUAAUUUUUGGAAAUAUGAUUAUAUUAUUAAUUAUUUUAGCAUUCUAAAAAGUCAAUGGUUAUGUUGGAAAUACUCUAAGGUAGACUAGAGUACAAAUCACAAUCACACAUAAAAAGUGAUAAAUAAUAAAAAAUAUAUUAUAUUUUUGAUCAUAUGAUUAUGAAGAUGUAUUUUACCUUAAAGAAGUUAUAAUAAGCGAAUUCUUUUAAAAAAGAAUAAAAUUUCUUUUUUAUCAUACUCAACCGCUUCAAACUUCUAAGAAGUAGAUAUACAAUGAGUGGAAUACUGAAUUGAGUGCGAGCUGCGGAUAACAUAUAAAAUUGGGAUACAAGCUUCAAAGAAAGUGUAUUGCUAUUCAAAUGUAGAUUUCAAAUUAAGAAGAUAUGCCAGCAAAUUGUAUAAAAAUGUAUAAAUUGAUCAGUAACAUUAAUUCCAAAUGAUGAAAUGAGUUAUCUUGAUCAAAAGGUCAAGAACCUACCUUACUUCUCUUAGAGAUAACUUGCAUCAACCGUUGUGGUAUUGAUACUUGUCUUCAGCUAGUAAAAGUGAAAGUUUCACAAUUGAAAUAAAGCUAAGGGAAGAUGCUAUGCUCCAUUUAUUAUUAUUAUUAUUGACGUGGUCGAGAAGUAAAGCCGUGCAUAUGAUGAAGUAUAAAUAAGAAUGCAAUAGCCCGGAAUUCAUUUACACAAACACUUCAAUAUCCUUUUGAUCACUUUUGCAAACAUCAAUUUGUCUCCUCUUGUAUUCACCAUGGUUGAUGCCAUCGUUUCCACUGUCUUGGAGCAGCUGAUUUCCUUCGCUGCUAAAGAGAUAAAGCAACAGGUGAUCGAAGUUACACCCGCAUAUUAUAAACACUUCUAAUGAUUUUAGUUGGUUUCCUUUUUAUCGAAAACAUUAUUUUUGCUUUAUUUUAUUUAUUUGGCAAUUUUAAAUUUGGAAAUUUGAAUUGAAUUUAAUUAAAAUGUGAUGUAGUUAGUAACCACUUAUUUUUAUUUUAUUUCAUUUAUAUUCUCAAUAACUACUCAUAUUUUGGUAACUUACUAUAACUUCCAUAUCUAAGAAAUUAUCAAAACCCACAAUUUUAACUCAGCACGAAUAUUCAAUGGUGAUCUAAGCUUUUGCAGAACACUCAAGUUUGUCAAACAUUCAUUAAUUCAAUGUUUAGUGAAAAAAACUCUUCUCAGCACAGAAUUCCAUGUCCAUUACUUAGGCUCUCUGAAAAAUUUCAUAAUUUUCAUACAUUCUUUGAGUUUGGUAAGUGAUUUCAUAUAAUUUCUUUUCAAGUUAAAUUUUAAUUUGGCUUCUGAUAUAGUCUCUUUGUUGAAUUUGUAUCUCUUAUGAUUCUUAGAUUUUGGGCUCCAACUUUUGAGGAUAUGAUAGUCACAUUUUAUGCUAUGCUCAGAUUGAUUUUUAUGAUUUUUUGUUCCCGUUAAGUGACUUAGAAUUUGACAAAAGUUUGAUAGGAAAUCUGUUUCACGAUUUUGUUUUAAUUGACCUUUUAGUGGAAAUAAGAUGCUUAUAACUUAAUGUGGAUGGUUUGUAAAAUCAUGAAAUUUGGAUAAUAUAAAUUUGUACGAGACUCUCCAUAAUAUUUCAUGAUUUUUCAUUAGCUCUGGGGUGUUACAGGUGCUACUUGUGACUGGUGUCAAAAAAGAAGUGAAAAAAAUUACCAACCACCUUCAAGCCAUUCAAGCUGUGCUCGAGGAUGCAGAGGAAAAGCAAGUGACGGAAACAGCUGUCAGACUUUGGCUGGGUAGGCUCAAGUCCGCAUCCUACGACAUUGAAGAUGUGUUGGAUGAGUGGAUCACAGCAAGAGGCAAAUUGCAAAUUAAGGGCAGCGUUUAUGACAAUGCUCUUGUUGCUCCUAAUCAGAAGAAGAAGGUAUGUUCCUGCUUUCCUGCCUCUUGCUUUGGUUUCAAACAAGUCAUUUUGCAUCGUGACGUAGCUGUCAAGAUCAAAGAAAUCAAUGAAGAGCUGGACGAUAUUGCCACUCAAAAAGACAUGUUUAAAUUUGUUGGGAGUGUCAGUAAAAGUAGUGAAAGACCAAGACGUGUGCAGAGUACCUCCUUGAUUGAUGAGGAAGAGAUUUGUGGUAGAGUUGGUGAGAGGGAUGCACUCUUAAGCAUGCUGUUGUGUGAGAGCAGUGAGCAACAAAAAGGCCUUCAUAUCAUCUCAAUUGUUGGUAUGGGAGGCAUCGGGAAAACUACUCUUGCACAACUAGCUUGUAAUCAUGACAAGGUGAAGAGUCAGUUCGACAAAAUUUUAUGGGUGUGUGUAUCAGAAACUUUUGAUGAGUUUAGGAUUGCCAAAGCGAUGCUUGAAGCUUUGACUGGUUCAACUUCUAAUUUAGAUGCAUUGCAAUCUCUUCUUAUAAGUAUUGACGAAUCUAUUGCGGGAAAGAGGUUUCUUCUUGUCUUAGAUGAUGUGUGGGACGGAGAUUACAUUAAAUGGGAACCAUUCUACCGUUGCCUAAAGAAAGGUCUCCAUGGAAGUAAAAUUGUAAUUACCACACGUAAUGAGUCAAUUGCCAGCAUGAUGAGAUCCGCAGAUAUUAUCUCUAUCAAGGAAUUGGCUGAAGAAGAAUGUUGGGCAUUGUUUAAGCAGUUAGCAUUUUUCGGUCGAUCCACUGAGGAGUGUGAAAAAUUGGAACAAAUUGGUCAAAGAAUUGCAAGAAAGUGUAAAGGUUUACCUCUUGCUGCAAAGACAAUGGGAAGUCUCAUGAGCUCUAAAAAAACUGAAGAAGAGUGGAAAAGAAUUUUAAAUAGUGAUUUAUGGAAGGUAGAAGAGAUUGAGAAAGGUGUUCUAACCCCUUUGUGGUUGAGUUAUAACGAUUUGCCAUCUAGAGUAAAAAGAUGUUUCUCGUAUUGUGCUGUCUUUCCAAAAGACUACAAUAUAGAAAAAGACAAACUAAUUACUUUGUGGAUGGCUCAAGGUUAUCUUAGUGCAGAAGCAGCAGAACAAGAUGAGGAGUUGGAGACUAUAGGUGAAGAGUAUUUUGGCAUCUUAGCUUCUCGCUCUUUCUUUCAAGAGUUUGAGAAACGUUAUGAUAAUCGUAUUAUAGCGUGCAAGAUGCAUGAUAUGGUACAUGAUUUUGCCCAAUUUGUUAGUCAAAAUGAAUGUUUUUCGUUGGAAGUUAAUGGUAGUGAGGAACUAAACGUCACAAACUCUACAAACUCUCUUGAUGAGAAGGUCCGUCAUUUAAUGUUAAUCUUUAGUAAAGGGACUUCAUUACCUGUUUCCACUCGUAGAGUUAAAAGAAUGCGUACCCUCUUAAUUAACGAUAGUAGAUCUGAUCAUUCAUUAUUAAAUGGUGAGAUCCUAGAAGAAUUAUUUAGGGAAUUGACAAGUUUAAGGGCAUUAGAUUUUGGCAAAUCGUAUAACUCAAGUUGGUCUUCGACUGUGGAGAUUCCGAGAACCAUAGAAAAGCUGGUACAUUUAAGGUACCUGAAUUUGUUUUAUCAGGGAAUAAAGAAACUACCGGAGACAUUAUGCGAGUUGUAUAAUCUAGAAAAGUUAGAUAUUAGUAUAUGUUUUAAUCUUAAAGAAUUACCUGAAGGGAUUGGGAAGUUAAUAAACAUGAAGCAUUUACGAAAUAGAGGUACUAGUUCUUUAAGGUACAUGCCAGUAGGGAUUGGGAGAUUAACGGGUCUCAGGACCUUGGAUGAGUUCCACGUGAGUGGAGGAGGAGGUGUUGAUUGUAGGAAAGCAUGUAGGCUUGAAUCUCUCAAAAACUUGGAAAACCUUCGAGUGUGUGGUAUACGUAGACUGGGUGAUGUAUCAGAUGUGGGCGAGGCUAAGCGAUUAGAACUUGACAAAAAGAAAUACCUCUCUUGUUUGAGACUUCGGUUUGAUAAGAAGGAGGAAGAAGAAGGAGAAAGAAGGAAGAACGAGGACGAUCAACUUCUUCUUGAAGCCCUACAACCACCUCUCAAUUUAAAGGAAUUAGAGAUAGAGUACUACCGAGGCAACACUGUUUUCCCCAGCUGGAUGACGUCAUUAACCAACUUAAAGAGUUUAGAUCUCUCUUCCUGCGAAAAUUGCGAGCAGCUGCCUCCUUUGGGAAAAUUGCCAUCCCUUGAAGCACUCAGCCUAUGGGACAUGAAGUGUGUGGAAAGAGUGGGUGAUGAAUUUUUGGGGAUAGAAAGUGAUCAUCAUGGCUCAUCUUCAUCGGUUAUUAUUGCCUUCCCCAAAUUGAAAUCACUUUCAAUUGAGUUUCUGCGCGAAUUGGAGGAGUGGGAUUAUGGGAUUACAAGAACGGGAAACACCGUCAUCAACAUCAUGCCACGUCUUUCUUCCUUGACAAUUGCUCAUUGCCCCAAAUUAAUGGCACUGCCCGACCACUUUCAUCAAACAACAACAUUGAAGGAAUUGCACAUUUGGGAGUGCAGGCUUCUGGAAGAACGUUACCGCAAAGGGGAAGGAGAAGACUGGCCUAAGAUAUCACACAUUCCCAACCUCCGUAUUGGGCUUUGACAAGUAAUUUCUUCUCUUACUCUGAUUUGCUUUGUUGUUGUUUUUAAUCUAAUUAAGAAGCGUAAAUAGCAUUUUGAAUCAAACUCUAUAUCAGAAAUCUGCAAUACUUACUUUCUAAUAUUCUGAUUUUCAUAUCCUAUGAAUAUACAAUUUUUAAUUUGUGAGAUGGGUAACGUUACUGUAAAAGAUUAUUAAUGCAAUAUGAGUAAUUCUUUUGCAGGACAAGUGACCUACAUUUAGUUUGGCUUUGGAGUUGAAUAAUAACCUUUCGAGGUCCCGACAACCAAAAAACGAAGCUUAAUUUGCCACAGAUUGCACGUAUUGCCAUUAUUGACAAUUUUCUGCACAAGCUUAGGUUGAUUUCAAAAGAGGUAAAUUAUUGGCAUGCCUGACUAUUUUGACCAUUACAUGAUUCAUAAGUUUACAUUAAUUUUGAUUUUGAGUUGAGUGAUUAGUUUUUAUACCCGGAAUAUGCAAAAGUUUCUAAUAUUUUAUUUCCAUCUGUUACAAGAUCAAACUGAAGUAGAACUCAAACAAAAGUAUGCUACUUCUUGCGGAAAUCUUGCCUUUGUUCAGAUUAUGAAACCAUUUCCAUGCAGCAAAUUCAUCCAAAAGUUUGAAUAAGUUUCAUGGUUGGACACUGUUGGCUUCUUUUUCUUCUGGGGUGCAUUUAGGUGCUAUCAAGUGACAGCUAAGUAUGAUUGCACUAAGCUGCCGCUGGGAAAUUUGAGGUUUUGAUGGCUGCCCAUGUUAUUUUCAAGAAACUAUUGAUGUAAGAAGCUGUGGUUCUUUUCAUCAGCUUGAACCUGAAACUGUCGCUAUGGAUAACUCAGGUUUUUGUUAUCAACUAUGUUGAUGCGAGAUUCCGGUUCUCCUCGUUCUACGACCAGGAUCUCUGCUCGAUCAACUUCACCACGACCAGGAGGUCUCCUAGUAAUGCUUCUUCUCCAGAUGUCCCUGCACACACAGACAAGUCAGAGUACGCCGGUUGUUCUCCCGGCGCAAACCCUCCGACGCUCAAGUCAGAUAUGAAGGUUCGGGGAACGCUUGCCACAGGUCUUAUGGCUUUUUCGUGGUUUUCUCUUUUAUCUCAAAAAUGCUAACCCUUUUACCUUCGUUGGCUACCUUUUUAUAGGCUUCCUCUGAAUCCCAGUUUUCCGCUUUUUUCGAGACGGUCUGGGGCUCUGACUGCUGCGUUAUGGGCAAACGUGGGAUCUUGCGUGUUACGCCACGGUUCAGGGGAAAGCGUGGCUGUCGUGGUUCUGUGAGAUCUUGUGUGUUACGCCACGGUUCAGGGGAAAGCGUGGCUGUCGUGGUUCUGUGAGAUCUUGCGUGUUACGCCACGGUUCAGGGGAAAGCGUGGCUGUCGUGGUUCUGUGAGAUCUUGCGUGUUACGCCACGGUUCAGGGGAAAGCGUGGCUGUCGUGCCUAGAUUCUUGGGCUGGAGAGUAUGUCUUGCCAACUGCCGUCGACCGGGUCUCCUCGCCUCUCGACCUCUAGCCGGAAUGGCCUUAUGCCUCUUAUAGGAAAUUGGCCUAGCGGAUGACAACAUCGUGGACGAGCAGGAUACUUCUGCUCCUGUUCUGAUGGCUGCCCAUGUUAUUAACACACCGGUUCACAGAACUCCGCUGUGGUUCUUUUCAUCAGCCUGGUCUCGUCGACGUAUUUAUGGAUAACUCAGGUUUUUGUUACAAACUAUAUCAUCUUUUUCACUAUUUUGAAACUCUUAAGAUUAAACUUUAGUAAAGUUGUUUCAGCUAUUCAAAUGAAAAACUCAUUGAUUUGAGACUUCCUUCAUUAUUGUUUCUAAUUACAGUGCUAACGAUCCAGAUAAAAUAAUAUUUAAUCGGCGAAGGUGUCCCUUGGAAGUACAUCCUUCUUUUUCUUUUAUUAUAUAAAUUCUUGCAAUGAGCUUAGUGAAGCUGUUGUGCUAAUCAUGCCACUGCAUAACUUGGCCCCUAAUGUGGGUACUCUGUUACAUUGUUCUGCAAAUUCUCCAGAAGUUAAAAUCAAUAAAUUUUCUAUUAGCUCUAGUGCUUUGACCUAAAUGCUAUUCUAUAUUCUGAUUACAAUGUUUUAACCUUUAAAUUAACUACCCCUAGAUGUUGGAUUUUCUAGAACUUCAAAAUGAUUAAUGGAGAAAGAUCCCAUUAUCGUUAUUGCUAUAAGAAAUUGAUUUAUGCAUCCAAAGAUACAUUAUAUAUUUCUGUGUCUCUAUUUAUGGAUGACAUUUAAUCAUCCAUAAACUGUCAGACAGAGGAAGGGGGUUCAGUGCAAAGAUUCUGUUGACCUAGGGUUGACUGCAUAUGUCACUUGUUCGCAAUCUAUUAUUUAUUUUAUAUUUUGAAGAAUUUAAUGGGUAAUCCUAAUUGUUUGUUUUGGCAGGUUUGUGUUGUUAUCUCCUUCUAUCUUACAGUCGUACCUAAAUAGCAUAGUUUCAUCUGUGUUACCAUGUGAUGUACAUAAUUUCACAUUUGCCUCAGAUUAAGCUUAAUUUCCCACAGAAUAGAGCUGUCGCGACUGGACUUAGGUUGAUGUCCAAAGAGGUAAAUUAUUGGCAUGCCUAGAUAAUUUGGCCAUUUCCUAAUUCAUAAGUCUACAUUAAUUUUGAUUUUGAGUUGACUGAUUUCUUUUCAAGGUCUGCUUCCUUAACGGAGUGACCAAUGUUUUUCAACUAAAUUUAUCAUAUGAUGCAGGAAGCAGGGCAGGAUAUGAAAUGAGAAGCUCAUUGGUGGAAGUAUUUCCAGUAGCAGAACCCAAUGAAAAUGAAACUAUUUCAAGGCAGCAGUUGGCAGUUGCAAGUGAAUGGAGGCCCUGACAAAAUUCUCAAGCGGUUGCAAUGCAAUUACGAUCAUCCUCAGCCUCAGGUAAUUUCUUCUCCUGCUCUGUUUUUAUCUGUUAUCUAAUUAAAAAGCAUAAAGUAUCUUGAAUCACUUUCUGUAUCUGGAAUAUAUGCAGCAGUUUCUAAAAUCUUCAUAUGAGUGUAAUGAUGGUAAUUUCUGUUUUUUGUCUGUCUUUGAAUGUUAGACAACUUUCAGUGAGACUCUUGAACCGAGACAUUUUUGACAAAUGAAGGACAAUUGCUGAAGAGUGGGAAUGGUGCUAGAUUGGGGAAUAAAGACAAAGGAGGUAAAUUAUUUGCAGUUUAUUCAGCAUUAUUUGCUUUGGACCAGCGCCUGAUUCACAAGUCUCCAUAAUUUGGCUUUUGACCAGUUGUUAAUAAAUUUUUUUAUUCCAUUGGUGCUAAAUGUACACGUGAAGCAGGCAGAGCAGGACUGUGGAAAUGAGAAGGUUUUUAGUGAAAGCUUAAACUCAGGUAAUUCUAAAAAGUACAUGUUUUUGCUGAUUUAUCUAAAUCAGGAAAUUUUAUUUCCAUCUGUUACAAGAUAAAACAGAAACAGAACACAAAGAAAAAUAUUCUACUUCGUGUGGCAAUCUUGCCUUCAUUCAGACAAUGAAACCAUUUCCUUUCACCAAUUUCUUCCAAAAGUUUGAAUAAGUUUCAUGGUUGGACAUAGUUAGCUUCUUUUUCUUUUGGUGCAUUUAGGUCCUAUCAAGUGACAGCCAUAAGUAUGAUUGCAUUAUCGGGAAAUUUUAGAUUUCGAUGGCUCCCCAUGUUAUUGCCAAGAAAGUCCUCAUGUCAGAAGCUGCGGUUCUUUUCAUCAGCCUGAACCCGAACCUGUCGUUAUGGAUAACUCAGGUUUUUGUCAUCAACUAUAUCAUCUUUUUUACUGUUUUGAAACUCUUAAGAUUAAACUUCAGUAAAGUUGUUUCAGUUAUCCAUGUAAUCAGGCUAAGGAUAUUUAGCAGCUUAUUUAGGCAACUGCCAGAAUUCAGUUUGUUCGCUCGAAACUUGUAUGGUGACAAGGAUACUGGCAAGGAUAGUGAGAUAGUUUUUUGUGUGAGUGAAAUUUGAAAGCUUGGGUGUUCUGGGAUUUGCAAUUGCAAUCAUCCUCUGAGUCAGGUGAUUUCUUCUUCUGCUCUGUCUUUAUUUUCUCUCUAAUUGAAAGCAUAAAGUAUUUCAAUCAAAUUCUGUACCAGGAAUACGUAAAAGUUACUAAUAUUUUAUUUCCAUCUGUUUGCAUAGAUAACUUGGCGGCAUAUGUUCUAGUUAAAGAACAAACAGAAACAGAGUUCAGGAAAAAGUUUCUUCGGCCACCAUAUUUGAAAAUGAAACCAUUUCCAGGAAGCAGUUGGCAGCAAAUUCAUAUGGAGUGUAGACAAUGAUGAGCAAAAAGGUGAUUCGCAAUUUCUUUUUUUUUUUAAGUGAAAUUAUUUGUUAGAUUGAAGCUGAUAUUGUAAGAAGGCCAUUGAGCUAACCUAUGUCGCCACUUGCCUAGAUUGCAGGGGGUCAAGACUCAAAAGAAGCACUGAAAUUUAAAAAGCAUGCAAUAGUUCUUUUACCAUGUGUCAAUUAAUGCAAGUUUGAAUAAGUUUAUUGGCUGAACGAUGUUAGCUUCUUUUCCUUUCGUGCACUUUGGUAUGCUAUCAAGUGACAGCCGUAUGUAUGGCUUGCAUAUAGCUGCUGCUGGGAAAAUUGACGAUUUCAUGGCUGGCCGUGUUAUUGUCUUAAAUUAGUUGUGAUAAGCUGUUGCUUGGAGAUUCUGUUGCCAAGACUUUGCUCACAUCAGAAGCUGUGGAAUCUGAACCCUUCGUUAUGUAUCAUCUUUUUCAUUGUUUUAAAACUCUCAGGAUUAAACUUGAGCGAAUUUGUUCGGUUGUCUAUAUAAUCAUGUAUUGAGUAAACUCUCAGGAUACUGAGCAGGCAAAUGUUAUAACUCGGUUUGUUAGCCAAAAACUUGUUGAAGAUUCUUGACAAAGCUGCAUCAAGUGAAUUGUCGGAGCUCUGAGGGUGAGAGAAAUUAGAGGAUUUGGAUUUGUUAGGAAGUUAUCAUAUUUAUUUUUAUUUUUUUAUUUUUCCCAGAAAAUCUUCUGGUGGUGCUAUAUUUUCAAACGACAGUCCGAUUCAAAACUUGAUAUUCCAAUUAUAUUCAUAAGCUUCUAUAGUUAUCUUCAAAAAGACAAAUGGAAGGCUUUGAACGGCUUGGGUCUGAGUAUUGUAGUUUGAUUUAUUUUGAUGAAAGUACCUUUUGACAUUGAGAUUCUUUCUUGAGUUAAACAUUCUUUUUAAAACCAACUUAUUAAAAAAAAAGUAACUAACAUAUAUUAUUUUGUUAGUGCUUUUUAAAUCAAAUAUAAAAAAGAGAACUGUAAUUCUUAGCAACCAAUUUUUCACUGAGUACAGCUACAACAAACUAUUAAAAAAUAAAGUGAUAGAAAAUGCCUGAUUUUUCGUACUUUCUAAUUACUUUUGGUCCUAAAAUAUGGCGAUUUGUGUAAUAAUAAGCCCAUGUAUAUCUUUAUGCCAUUAGUUUGAUAAAUAGCUAUCAAGGAUAACUUAUUAAGCUAAAAAUAUUUGAAGGAUAAAUUGGUAAAACUAAAAGGGUGGAGUAAUAAAACAACAGCUGCAGAUCUCGAAUGCAUCUUCAUUACAGUAUGUUCCAAGGAAGUGUAAUGCCAUAGCUCAUGCUAUAGCAAAAGUGGCUCUGGAUUUUGAGAAUUCUGUUAUAUGGCUGGAAGAGUUUCCAGUCCAGAUCAUGAUGUUACUCUCAAAUUUUAUCAAUUAGAAAGCUUUACUUUCUUUUCAAAAAAAAAAAAAAAAACAAGAAUUUCCAAUUACCUGCAAAGUCAGCUGCGAAGUUAACUCCUGAGCUGAGAAGGUGGCCUAGCAAAGUCUCUGGGCCCAAUAAAAAUGUGCUUUUUGCAGUAAAACAGUGUGUCCGUGGGAGAAGGUAGCAGCGGAAAACCAAGCCUCUCACAAGACAUGUUUCAAGUGCUCACAUGGUGGUUAUUCCAUUAGCCCGUCAAAUUACGCAGCCCUAGAAGGCAUCUUGUAUUGCAAACAUAAUUUCUCCCAAUUGUUCAAGGAAGAAGGCAGCUACAACCACCUUAUAUCAAAUCUGCUUCCAUGAAGCGUGCUGCAGUCUCUGUUCAAGAAGCUUGAACAUGUUAUGUUAUCUUCCAUAAAUCUUAUUUGGCGUGGGUUUUCUCUGGCUUGAGGGUGUGCUUUCUAUUUUGAUCCCUCUUGUUGUUUUUGCGGGGAACUACCAAACCUUCGGUUCCCUCUGCUUCUUUGGAUCAUCUUUGUUGGGACAAAUUUCAUGUAAUUAGAGAUACUGAUUUAUGGGAGGCAUAAUCCCAUGGUCGUAAAUUGACCAUUUUCUGGCAAUGUUCUUUUUAAAAAGAGAUGAGCAGUUGUUUAAAAAAAAAAAAAAAUAGCUUGCCUUCAUCAUUGUAUGUUACCAAAGUGCUAUGUAUAGCUGCUGACUAUGAGCAUCCGAAAAUGGUGCAUCGUGAUUCAUGUAGUGCAAUAUGGCUACCAACGCAUCCUAAAUGGAGUAUUACUCAGUUAGGGUGUGUUUGGGAUUGAGGUUCUGUAGCUUUUAAGCUACAGCUGUUGUGAAAAAAAAGCUGUAAUUAUGAAACAAAAGUUAAUAAUAUAUAGUAAAUAUAAAUUUUAAAUAAUAAUUUUGAUAAGAUUAUUAAAGAUAUAAUAAAUUUUAUAUUAUACAAGUGAAAAAUAAUAUCAACAUAGCUUAAAAGCUACAGCAGUUAGUGUUUACCAAACACUUUAGUGCUGUAGUUUUUAAGCUAUAACUGCCCAACCUCAAUCCCAAACGCACCCUUAGUCAGCAAAAUAAGACAACAUAACUGAUAUUAAAAAAAAAACUACAUUAAUAAGUGGGCAAGAUCAUGCCAGUUUAACUUUUCGCGCGUCGCUGCUGGAGAUAAUCAAAUCAGGGCAGAGAAAAGGAGAAUGGAAUCAGAGGCUAAGAUUAAUAAGUGGGCUUCUGCUUGCUUUGCCCCUCUUUCUUAAACGAUUGGUAGACUGCUGCUUCCACCGAUUAACCGGGUCUUCAACCACUGCUUUUACUGCCUGCCAUCUUGUUGUUUGUCGAAGGGAUGAAUUCGAUUCGAAAAGAGAAAGCGCGCUGAAAAAGAUAAAUCACUAGUGGUUAACUGCUGACUCAGCCAAGUGUUGGCUUCACUUGAUUCACCGAUUGAGGUUAUUUUGUCUUCUAUCUAAUGCAGCGAAGAAGCUUUGCUGCUUAACAUGCUGCAAUGCAACUUUAUCCUUUGAAGUUCACACUUCAGGGCUGGGCACUUUAUGUAAUCCUAUGAGUAAAAAGAAUUUGUUUUCAAAUGUGAAAAAAGAAAAUGUAAGGUAGUAACUAAAUAUAUUAUAGCAUCCAAGCAAGAUUUGAUAUGAAUUUAGUACAACAAAGAACAUCAAAUCUGUGAUUCCUUGUCUAAUGUCACCAUCGAGCAACAAAUUUAAAAGCCUACCUAUCAAAUACACGAGGCAAUAAACGGAGAAAAAUUUGAAUUACAAGAACAAGUUUACAAUUCUUGUCAAUGGUUAAUGAUUCGUGAACUGAGAUAGCAUUCAAGAAUCCAAUUUCAAUACAACAACGUAAAAGAUAAACAGAUGAUGAAUUUAUGAGAUAAAGAAGGAGAUCAUGUUUUAUCGUAUCUCUAUUUUCUUUCUUUUUAAAUUUAAAAUAAGCUUUUCAACCGGUUUGUUAACCGGUUAUAAUAUUUUUUUAAAAUAAUUAAAUAUUUUCAUUAUUAAAAAUAAUGUGUACCGUUGAUUAUAUCUAACGGUACAUAUUUCUUACACUACUAAUACCGUAAAAAAAAAUACAGCAUCAUAGAGGGACCCUUAAAACAUUUUCAUUUGAAAUUAUUUGGUGUAGUAAAAAAGUUAAGAAAGAAAUAGUUGUCCCUUUGGUCAUUUCACAAAAAUGAAAGCCCCAUAAAAGAUAAACAGAUGAUGAAUUUUAUGAGAUAAAGAAGGAGAUCGUGUUUUAUCGUAUCUCUAUUUUCUUUCUUUUUAAAUUUAUGAGAUAAAGCGGUUGGUCCAGUUACGGUGUUAUGCUAACGGGUUUAAAGGUUCCGAUCCAAUGAGUUAGGGUGGAAUAUGAAUAUAUAAAUUCCAUAGCUAAGGACUAGGAUUUGUUUGUUCAUAUCAAGAAAAAAGAUCUGAAAAUUUGAUGAUCAGAAGAUAAAAACACUUAAACACGUUUAUUUCAGAGAAACAAACGACAACAUGAUACUAGUAGUAGUUAUUCUUUUCAUCCGAUAUAUUACAUUGUAAUAUCACUACUCGUUCCACUGGUUUCAUAUACACCAUCGACCAGCAACAUGAUAAUUUCGUGUCAGUUCAUUUUGUUUGUAGGAAAGAGCAGUGUAUUUCUUAGAGCUUGAAAAUAAUAAAAAGAUUUUAAAAUAUAAAUUGCAUAUUUGUUUAUUACUGUUGUUUGGUCUAAUUUCUUAUGUAGAAUUGCUUGUCAUUCUUUGGACGUUAUUGAUUAUAUUUUUGUCAGACUUGGCGUAUACAUUCACAUACGUUUUAUUUUGUCAUUUUGUAGAACAUUUUUACACGCCAUAUUAUCACGACUCUUCUGUGUCUGAAUAAGAAGAAAGCAUAAUGCGACCCUCCAACAGCUUAAUCUAUGGAAUUAUCGUGUUUUGUAAGUUGAGGUCCAAUGGCGUUUUGGCACAUCAUAUGAUAGACCACUAUAUUGCGUUGCUUUACAAAAGAUUAAUAUUUUUAAAAUUAUUAACUCAUGAUAUGAUAGUCCAGGUUUUCGAGGACCACUAUAUUGUAUUGAUUUUUAAAAAAAAUUAAUAUUUUUUAAUAUUAAUAUUCUAAAUUAUAUUCAGUUAAAAUAUUAAAUAUUAAAUACAUUCUUAAUAUUAAUACUCUUAGAUGAAAUUCUUUUGCUGACUUAAGAAUAAAAUAUUAAAUAAUUUUAUUUUUCUUUUAUUGUGUAACGUGGACCCAAAAAAAAAAGGAAAUGAAUUUAAUAAAACCUUCCUUCCGCCACCAUGCAUGUUAAUUGUUUCCAAAUUCCAACCUCCGUACUCUCUUGAGGAGUUUCCCAUUCAUCAAUUAUUAUUUUUUAUAAUCCAUACCAUCCUGAUAUAAUUAAACACCAUUAAUAAUGUACCAGCCUUUAAAUAGUAAUUUAUUUAUUUAUCUAAUUCACCAAAUGUCAUUUCCUGUACAUAUCUCCAUUGGUAUCAAGAAGAAGCAGAACCCAAAGAAACGUUUCUUGCAUCUUCAUAUUUGUGCGAAUUCAUCCUUUCAUUGAGAAUAACCAUUUCCAGGCAGCAGUUGCCAAUCAAUUCAUGCGCACGUCGAUGCUAUUCAUAGAUAUUAAAGACAAUGAUGAACCAAAGGUGAUAAAUCAUAAAUGCAUAAUUACCAAACCUCCAUCCUUCUCUCAUUAUGAUUUGAUUUUAAAUGAAUUAUUGCUUGGUAACAUUAUUUCCAACCAUUGCAAGAUUUUUUUUGGAGAAAUUUUAAUUGAAAGUAAAACCUUUAGACAUUUACCUAAUGAAGUUAGUUAAUCGGGAGGGUGGAAAAAAAAAAGUUGACGCAAGUCAAUACACAAUAAUUAAUCAAAUCCGGAGUGACUAAAACAGAGCCACUACUUUUUUAAAAAUAUCUGCCUUCAUCACUUUCUCCAGCAGCUAGUCAGCUACACACGAGUCAAUUUCUCUCCUCGAUUGUCAUCCAAAAUUAUUCACCAAUACCAUGGCUGAUGCAAUCGUUUCCACUAUCUUGGAGCAGCUGAUUUCCUUCGCUGCUGAAGAGAUAAAACAACAGGUGAUCGAAGUUACACCCCUCAGAUUACAAAUACUUCCAAUGAUUUUAUUUGGUUUUGCUUUUAUCAAAAACAUUAUAUAUUUUUGCUUUAUUUUAUUUAUCUGGUAAUUUUAGAUUUUGAAAUUUGAAUUGAAUUUAAUUAAAAGGUGAUGUAGUAACCACUUAUUUUUAUUUUAUCUCAUUUAUAUUCUCAAUAACUACUCAUAUUUUGGUAACUUACUAUAACUUCCAUAUCUAAGAAAUGAUCCAAACCCACAAUUUUAACUCAGCACGAAUAUUCAAUGGUGAUCUAAGCUUUUGCAGAACACUCAAGUUUGUCAAACAGUCAUUAAUUCAAUGUUUAGUAAAAAAAACACUUCUCAGCACAGAAUUCCAUGUCCAUUACUUAGACUCUAUGAAAAAUUUCAUAAUUUUCUCACAUUAUUUGAGUUUGGUAAGUGAUUUCAUAUAAUUUCUUUUCAAUAUAAAUUUUAAUUUGGUUUCUUAUAUACUCUCUUUGCUGAAUUUGUAUCUUUUAUGAUUCUUAGAUUUUGGGCUCUAACUUUUUAGGAUUUGAUAGUCACAUUUUAUGCCAUGCUUAAAUUGAUUUUCAUGAUUUUUACUACCCGUUAAGUGACUUAGAAUUUGACAAAAGUUUGAAAGGAAAUCUACUUCAGGAUUCUGUUUUAAUUGACCUUUUAGUGGAAAUAAGAUGCUUAUAACUUAAUGUGGAUGUACAAGACUCUCCAUGAAGUCUCAUAAUUUUUCAUUCGGUCUGGGGUGUUACAGGUGAAGCUUGUGGUUGGUGUCGAAAAAGAAGUGAAAAGCCUUACCGGCCACCUUCAAGCCAUUCAAGCUGUGCUCGAUGAUGCCGAGGAAAAGCAAGUGAAGGACAAAGCUGUUAGUCUUUGGCUAGGUAGGCUCAAGUACGCAUCCUACGACAUUGAAGAUGCGUUGGAUGAAUGGAUCACAGGAAGACGCAAAUAGCAAAUUGAGGGUGGCAUUGGUGAAAAUGCUCUUAUUGCUCCUCAUAAGAAAAAGAAGGUACGUUUCUGCUUUCGUGCCUCUUGUCUUGGAUUCAAACAAGAAGAAUUUGGCUUCAAACAAGUCUUUCUACGUCAUGACAUUGCUGACAAGAUCAAAGAAAUCAAUGAAGAGCUACGUAAUAUUGCCACUCAAAGAGACAUGUUUAAAUCUGAGAGUGGCAGUAAAAGUAGUGAAAGACCCAGGCGUGUACAGAGUACCUCCUUGAUUGAUGAGGAAGAGAUUUGUGGUAGAGUUGGUGAGAGGAAUGAACUCUUAAGCAUGCUGUUGUGUGAGAGUAGGGAGCAACAAAAAGGCCUUCAUAUCAUCUCAAUCGUUGGUAUGGGAGGCAUAGGAAAAACAACUCUUGCACAACUAGCAUGUAAUCAUGUUGAGGUGAAGAGAAAGUUUGACAAACUUUUAUGGGUGUGUGUAUCGGACCCUUGUGAGCAGUUUAGGAUUGCCAAAGCGAUCGCUGAAGCUUUAGGCAUUCCCUCUUCUAAUUUAGGUGAAUUUCAAUCUCUUCUUAAACUUAUAUCUGAAUCUAUUACUGGAAAACGAUUUCUUCUUGUCUUAGAUGAUGUGUGGGAUGGAGAUUGUAUAAAAUGGGAACCAUUCUACCUUUGUCUAAAGAAUGGUCUCCAUGGAAGUAAAAUUUUGGUUACCACACGUAAAAAAUCAGUUGCAUCUAUGAUGGGAUCUACUAAUACUGAUAUUGUCACUGUCAUGGAAUUGGCUGAAGAAGAAUGUUGGUCAUUGUUUAAGCGGUUAGCAUUUUUCGGUCCGUCUAUUAAUGAUUGUGAAAAUUUGGAACAAAUUGGGCGAAGAAUUGCAGGCAAGUUUAAAGGUUUGCCUCUUGCUGCAAAGACAAUAGGGAGUCUCAUGCGCUCUAAACAAAUUGAAGAAGAGUGGGAAAGGAUUUUAAAUAGUGAUUUAUGGAGAGUAGAAGAGAUGGAGAAAGGUGUUCUGUCCUCAUUGGUGUUGAGUUACAACGAUUUGCCGUCCAAAGUAAAAAUAUGUUUUUCCUAUUGUGCUGUCUUUCCAAAAAACUACAAUAUAAAAAAAGAUGAACUAAUUACAUUGUGGAUGGCUCAAGGUUAUCUUAGUGCAGAACAAAAUAAGGAGAUGGAGACUAUAGGUGAAGAGUAUUUUAGCAUCUUAGUUUCUCGCUCUUUCUUUCAAGAGUUUGAGAAAAGUUAUGAUAAUCGUAUUAUAGAGUGCAAGAUGCAUGAUAUGGUACAUGAUUUUGCCCGAUUUGUAAGUCAAAAUGAAUGUUUUUCGAUGGAAAUUAAUGGUAGUGAGGAACCAAACACCAUAAACUCUCUUGAUGAGAAGGUUCAUCAUUUAAUGUUGAUCAUUGGUAGGGAGGCUUCAUUUCGUGUCCCUAUUUGUAGAGUGAAAAGAAUUCGUAGCCUCUUAAUUGAUAAUAGUAGAACUUCUCGUUCGUAUUUUAAUGGUGAGAUCCUAGAAGAAUUAUUUAGGGAAUCGACAAGUUUAAGGGCAUUAGAUUUUUGGGGAUCAUAUGUCGUAAGCCCAUUUUCGACUCUAAAGAUUCCAAGAAACAUAGAAAAUCUAGUACAUUUAAGAUACCUUAACCUGUCUUGUCAGAACAUAAGGAAACUACCGGAGACAUUAUGUGAGUUAUAUAAUCUAGAAAAGUUAUAUAUUACUCGUUGUCUGUAUCUUGAAGAAUUACCUGAAGGGAUUGGGAAGUUAAUAAACAUGAAGCAUUUACUAAAUUAUCGUACAGAUUCUUUAAGGUACAUGCCAGUAGGGAUUGGGAGAUUAACGGGUCUUAGGACCUUGGAUGAGUUCCAUGUGAUUGGAGGAGGAGGUGUUGAUGGUAGGAAAGCAUGUUGGUUUGAAUCUCUUAAAAACUUGAAACACCUUCAAGUAUGUGGUAUACGCAGAUUGGGUGAUGUAUCAGAUGUGGGCGAGGCUAAGCGAUUAGAACUUGACAAAAAGAAAUACCUCUCUUGUUUGAGACUUUGGUUUGAUAAGAAGGAGGAAGGAGGAGAAAGGAGGAAGAACGAGGAGGAUCAACUUCUUCUUGAAGCCUUGCGACCACCCCUGGAUUUAAAGGAAUUAGAGAUACGGUACUACCGAGGCAACACUGCUUUCCCCAGCUGGAUGACGUCAUUAAUCAAUUUAAGGAGUUUAGAUCUCUCUUUGUGCGAAAAUUGCGAGCAGCUGCCUCCUUUGGGAAAAUUGCCGUCCCUUGAAAAACUCAGCCUAUUGCACAUGCGGAGUGUGAAAAGAGUGGGUGAUGAAUGUUUGGGGAUAGAAAGUGAUCAUCAUGGCUCAUCUUCAUCUUCAUUAGUUAUUAUUGCCUUCCCUAAAUUGAAAUCACUCACAAUUUCUUCCAUGUUGGAAUUGGAGGAGUGGGAUUAUGGGAUUACAAGAACGGGAAACACCGUCAUCAACAUCAUGCCACGUCUUUCUUCCUUGGAAAUUGUUGCCUGCCCCAACUUAAAGGCACUGCCCGACCACAUUCAUCAAACGACAACAUUGAAGGAAUUGCGCAUUGUGCAUUGUGGGCUUCUGGAAGAACGUUACCGCACGGGGGAAGGAGAAGACUGGCCUAAGAUAUCACAAAUUCCCAACAUAGAUAUUGAUUAAGAAGGAGAAGAGUGGCCUAAGAUAUCUCACAUUCCCAACCUCGCGAUUUGGCCUUGACAAGUAACUCCUUCUCUUACUCUGAUUUGCUUUGUUGUUCUUUUUAAUCUAAUCAAGAAGCAUAAAUAGCAUUUUGAAUUAAACUCUAUAUCAGAAAUCUGCAAUACAUAUUUUCUAAUAUUCUGAUUUUCAUAUCUUAUGAAUGUACGAUUCUAAUUUGCGAUAUUUAACGUUGCUGUAAAAUAUUAUUAAUGCAAUAUGAGUAAUUCUUUUGCAGGACAAGUGACCUAAGUUUAGUUUGGCUUUGGAGUUGAGUAAUAACCUUUCGAGGUCGCCACUAUAAAAAAGCGAAGCUCAAUUUGCCACAGAUUACAUGUAUUGCCAUCAUUGACAAUUUUCUGGAUAAGUGAUGAAGGGUGAGAAUGGUGCUAGAAUAUUGAAUAAAGCUGUCGUGACUGAACUUAGGUUGAUGUCAAAAGGGGUAAAUUAUUGGCAUGCCUAGCUAAUUUGACCACUUCCUGAUUCAUAAGCCUAUAUCAAUUUUGAUUUUGAGUUGAGUGAUUAAUUUUCAAGGUUUGCUUACUUAACCGGUGACCACUUUGUUGUAACUAAAUGUAUCAUAUGAUGCAGGCAGCAGGGCAGGAUAUGAAAUGAGUAGUUUAUUAGUGGAUGGAUUGCCAGAAGCAGAACCCAAAGAAAAUGAAAACAUUUCGAGGCAGCAGUUGGCAGUUGGCCGUGAAUGGAGCCCCUUGAAAAAAUUCCCAACCCAUUGCACUGCAAUUACGAUCGUAAGUAUGAUUGCACUGCAAUUUCGAAGCUUCUUCUCCUGCAUUUUUGUUAUUUGCUAUCAAGUGACAUUCGUAAGUAUGAUUGCAUUAAGCUGCUGCUGGGAAAUAUGAGGUUUUGAUGGCUGCCCAUGCUAUUGUCAGAAGCUGCGGUUCUUUUCAUCAGCCUGAACCUGGACCUGUCGCCAUGGAUAACUCAGGUUUUUUUUUUUUUAAUCAACUACGUCAUCUUUUCCACUGUUUUGAAACUCUUAAGAUUAAACUUUAGUAAAGUUGUUUUAGUUAUCCAUGUAAUCAGGCUGAGGAUACUUAGCUGCCUAUUUAGGCAAAUGUCAGAAUUUAGUUUGUUCGCUGGGAACUGGUGUGGUGACAGCGUCCUGGCAAAGGAUGAUGAGAUAGUUUUUUGAUUGAGUAAAUUUUGGGAGCUUGAGUGUAUUGGGAUUUGCAAUUACAAUCAUCCUCUGCCUCAGGUGAUUUCUUCUCCUGCCCUGUCGUUGUUUGUUCUCUAAUUCAAAAUUAUAAAAUAUUUCAAUCAAAUUUUAUGCCAGGAAUAUGCAAAAGUUUCUAAUAUUUUAUUUCCAUCUGUUUGCCUUGAUAACUUUGCGGCAUAUGUACUAGUUAAAGAACAAAUCGAAACAGAGCUCAGUUAAAAGUUUCUUCUGCCGUCAUAUUUGAAAAAUGAACCCAUUUCCAGGAAGCAAUGGGCAGCAAAUUCAUAUAAAGCGUAGACAAUGAUGAGCAAAAAGGUGAUUCACAAUUUCACUUUUUUUAAUGAAAUUAAUUGUUUGGUUGGAGCGGAUAUUGUUAGAAGGCCAUUGAGCUAACCUAUGUCACUACUUGCCUAGAUUACAGGGGGUCAAAACUCAAAAGAGGCAUUGAAUUUUAAAAGGCAUCCAAUAAUUCUUGUGGCCAUAUAUCAAUUCAUGUAAGUUUGAAUGUAAUUAUUGGUGAAGGGGUUUCACUUCCCGUCUCUAAAUAAAAAUACUGAUUCUUUAAGGUACAUGCCACUAGGGAUUGCGAGAUUAACGAGUCUUUGGACAUUGGAAGAGCUCCUUGUGAGUGGAGGAGGAGAUGUUGAUGGUAGCAAAGCAUGUGGGCAGUUGGCUUGAAUCUCUUAAAAACUUGGAACUCCUCCAAGCGUAAGUAUACGUGUACUGGGAAAUGUGUUAGAUGUGGAUGAGGCUAAGAGAUUAGAGCUUGACAAAAUGAAAUACCUCUUUCAUUGAGACUUAAAUUUGAUGGGGAAGAAGAAAAAGAAGAGGGAAGGAGGAAGAAUGAGGAUAAUCAACUUGUUCUUGAAGCCUUGCAACCACCUCUGAAUUUGAAGGAAUUAGAGAUUUGGUUAUACAGAGGCAACAUUGUUUCCCCCCGGAUGAUGCAAAAAUUGAAGGAAUUUACCAAUCUAAGGAGUUUGACACUCUUUAAAACUGCAAAAAUUGAGAGCAGUUGCCUCCUUUGGGAAAAUUGUAAUCCUUUGAAAAUCUCAGCAUAUUGUACAUGGAGAGUGUGAAAACAGUGGGUAAUGAAUUUCUGGGAAUAGAAAGUGAUCUUCAUGACUCAUCUUCAUCUUCAUCAGUUAUUAUUGCCUUCCCCAAAUUGAAAUCACUUUCUUUCAGUUGAGGGAUUGAUGGAAUUGGAGGAGUGGGAUUAUGGGAUUAAAAGAACAGGAAACACCUUCACCAACAUUAUGCCACGUCUUUGAACCUUGGAAAUUAGUGUGGGGUUAUGGGAUCGCACAACGACGUUGAAGGUAUUGCAGAUUGUGGCAUGUGGUACUCUAAGAAGACGUUACAGACAGGGGAGAGCAGAAGACUGGCCUAAAAUGCUAAUGUGGAGUACAAUCAUAAAAUGCUAAUGUGGCCACCCUGGUUCUUAAAUUAAGGUUGUGCAUAUUAUUGUAAAAGAUGAUUAAUUCAAUUUGAGUCAUUCGUUUGCUUUGAUAAUGAUAGUAAUUUUAUAUUUGACAAUUUGCAAGGUGAGAAUGGUGCUGAUUGGUGAUACAGGAUAUGGUUCAAACACCAUUGAAUAAAGCUACGGACAUGGUGGCUCAACUUAGCUAGAUUGCUGUCAAAAUUGGUAAGUUGGCUUGUCAAUGUAUUGAUGCUUUUGUUUUCUCUCAACCCUAAUUACCUUACCUUCAUUUAGUUUGGCUUUGGAGUUGAGUAAUAACUUUCAAGGUUCUCAAACAGAGCAGGACAACCGAAAAAAAAAGCUUAAUUUGCUACUGAUCACGUGUUACCAAUUAUUUAAGGUAAUUCUCGUUUACUUGCUUCUACGCUAUAGAGUACGUGUUCUGGUUGGUUUAUCUAAUUCAUCAAAUGUUAUUUCCUUAUUGUUCCAUUGAUAUAUUUGUUAGAAAGUGAAACCAUUUCCAGGCAGCAGUUGGCAGUGAAUUCAUGCAAAUGUUGAUGCCAUUCAUAGAUAUUGAAGACAAUGAUGAGCCAAAGGUGAUAAAUCAUUAAUGCAUAGUUACCAAAACCUCCAUCCUUCUGUCAUUGUAAUUUGAUUUGAAAUGAAUAAUUGCUAGGUAAUUGAAGCCAAUAUUGUAAGAAACGGUGUUGAGCUACCCAAGCUAAGAAGUUAGCUGCCAAAAAAUGCAGGGGAUCAAAAGAAGCAUUGCAGUGCUACAAUGCUGCUACUGGGAAAUUUAAAUCCCAUAUUAGACUUUCCUCACAUCAGAAGCUGUGGAUCUUGGGACAUCAGGUUUUUUCACAGUUCUGAAACUCUCAGGAUUAAACUUUAUUAAAGUUGUUGUAGUUGUCUACGUUCUCAGGUCAAGGAUUCUAAGCUGCCUAUUAAGGCAAAAUGUCAGAAUUCCCCUAUUAUUUUUUUUUUCAUGUAAAAUUAUGUUGUUGUCUUCGCCCAUGAAUCUAGCUAAAUUCUGAACCAAUUGUUUGCUAUUAUAAAUUUCAUUGUUAAAUAUUAAUUGUGAUGUUGGUGUUGAGUUUCUUUUAAAGUCACAGAAGCCUGACGAUUGAGUUCCGUGGGAUUCUGAGAAGCAGUAAUAUUUUGAACAAGUGAAGGUUCUUCGUUUUUAAUUAUGUUCUGCACCUUUACAGUAUGAGUAGAUGUCUAAGAGGCGGGAUUUUAAUUUCAUUAAUGCUAAAUUUCGCAAAACAAUAAAAAAAUAAAUGCAUGACAGUGACUUCAAGAAUUUAGAUUAUUGAAUUUGGCCAUUUUAAAAUUGAACCAGAGCUCAGAAAUGUAGAAUAUAAAUAUUGGAGAUUUGAACUUCAAUCAUUAGAUUUGAAGCUAAAGAGGUAAGCCAUUAAUUACAUCAAAGGAUUUGGAAAAUGGAGGAAUUGUAAAAAGGAAACUCUUUCAUCAACUUCAAGCAUUGGGCUUUUUCAUUUGUCCGAUUCAAGAGGAACGUCACAGAAAGGGGUAAAGAGAAGAGUAGCCAAAGAUAUUAAAGACAAUGUUGAGGCAAAGGAAACAUAAAUCCCCACCAUUGCAUGGGAACAUGAUCACAAUAAGGUCAGGAANNNNNNNNNNNNNNNNNNNNNNNNNNNNNNNNNNNNNNNNNNNNNNNNNNNNNNNNNNNNNNNNNNNNNNNNNNNNNNNNNNNNNNNNNNNNNNNNNNNNNNNNNNNNNNNNNNNNNNNNNNNNNNNNNNNNNNNNNNNNNNNNNNNNNNNNNNNNNNNNNNNNNNNNNNNNNNNNNNNNNNNNNNNNNNNNNNNNNNNNNNNNNNNNNNNNNNNNNNNNNNNNNNNNNNNNNNNNNNNNNNNNNNNNNNNNNNNNNNNNNNNNNNNNNNNNNNNNNNNNNNNNNNNNNNNNNNNNNNNNNNNNNNNNNNNNNNNNNNNNNNNNNNNNNNNNNNNNNNNNNNNNNNNNNNNNNNNNNNNNNNNNNNNNNNNNNNNNNNNNNNNNNNNNNNNNNNNNNNNNNNNNNNNNNNNNNNNNNNNNNNNNNNNNNNNNNNNNNNNNNNNNNNNNNNNNNNNNNNNNNNNNNNNNNNNNNNNNNNNNNNNNNNNNNNNNNNNNNNNNNNNNNNNNNNNNNNNNNNNNNNNNNNNNNNNNNNNNNNNNNNNNNNNNNNNNNNNNNNNNNNNNNNNNNNNNNNNNNNNNNNNNNNNNNNNNNNNNNNNNNNNNNNNNNNNNNNNNNNNNNNNNNNNNNNNNNNNNNNNNNNNNNNNNNNNNNNNNNNNNNNNNNNNNNNNNNNNNNNNNNNNNNNNNNNNNNNNNNNNNNNNNNNNNNNNNNNNNNNNNNNNNNNNNNNNNNNNNNNNNNNNNNNNNNNNNNNNNNNNNNNNNNNNNNNNNNNNNNNNNNNNNNNNNNNNNNNNNNNNNNNNNNNNNNNNNNNNNNNNNNNNNNNNNNNNNNNNNNNNNNNNNNNNNNNNNNNNNNNNNNNNNNNNNNNNNNNNNNNNNNNNNNNNNNNNNNNNNNNNNNNNNNNNNNNNNNNNNNNNNNNNNNNNNNNNNNNNNNNNNNNNNNNNNNNNNNNNNNNNNNNNNNNNNNNNNNNNNNNNNNNNNNNNNNNNNNNNNNNNNNNNNNNNNNNNNNNNNNNNNNNNNNNNNNNNNNNNNNNNNNNNNNNNNNNNNNNNNNNNNNNNNNNNNNNNNNNNNNNNNNNNNNNNNNNNNNNNNNNNNNNNNNNNNNNNNNNNNNNNNNNNNNNNNNNNNNNNNNNNNNNNNNNNNNNNNNNNNNNNNNNNNNNNNNNNNNNNNNNNNNNNNNNNNNNNNNNNNNNNNNNNNNNNNNNNNNNNNNNNNNNNNNNNNNNNNNNNNNNNNNNNNNNNNNNNNNNNNNNNNNNNNNNNNNNNNNNNNNNNNNNNNNNNNNNNNNNNNNNNNNNNNNNNNNNNNNNNNNNNNNNNNNNNNNNNNNNNNNNNNNNNNNNNNNNNNNNNNNNNNNNNNNNNNNNNNNNNNNNNNNNNNNNNNNNNNNNNNNNNNNNNNNNNNNNNNNNNNNNNNNNNNNNNNNNNNNNNNNNNNNNNNNNNNNNNNNNNNNNNNNNNNNNNNNNNNNNNNNNNNNNNNNNNNNNNNNNNNNNNNNNNNNNNNNNNNNNNNNNNNNNNNNNNNNNNNNNNNNNNNNNNNNNNNNNNNNNNNNNNNNNNNNNNNNNNNNNNNNNNNNNNNNNNNNNNNNNNNNNNNNNNNNNNNNNNNNNNNNNNNNNNNNNNNNNNNNNNNNNNNNNNNNNNNNNNNNNNNNNNNNNNNNNNNNNNNNNNNNNNNNNNNNNNNNNNNNNNNNNNNNNNNNNNNNNNNNNNNNNNNNNNNNNNNNNNNNNNNNNNNNNNNNNNNNNNNNNNNNNNNNNNNNNNNNNNNNNNNNNNNNNNNNNNNNNNNNNNNNNNNNNNNNNNNNNNNNNNNNNNNNNNNNNNNNNNNNNNNNNNNNNNNNNNNNNNNNNNNNNNNNNNNNNNNNNNNNNNNNNNNNNNNNNNNNNNNNNNNNNNNNNNNNNNNNNNNNNNNNNNNNNNNNNNNNNNNNNNNNNNNNNNNNNNNNNNNNNNNNNNNNNNNNNNNNNNNNNNNNNNNNNNNNNNNNNNNNNNNNNNNNNNNNNNNNNNNNNNNNNNNNNNNNNNNNNNNNNNNNNNNNNNNNNNNNNNNNNNNNNNNNNNNNNNNNNNNNNNNNNNNNNNNNNNNNNNNNNNNNNNNNNNNNNNNNNNNNNNNNNNNNNNNNNNNNNNNNNNNNNNNNNNNNNNNNNNNNNNNNNNNNNNNNNNNNNNNNNNNNNNNNNNNNNNAUGGUAUGCUUGUUAUCAAUUCCAGUCUAAUUCAUUCAUGCUUUGAUGACAUAUGCGGUGCAGCUUCUUAUCUAAGACCUGUAUAUGUUCAGUCAUCAUUCAGUUCUGUAUUUGGCUGCCAUUCUUUCAAUGAAUUCAAACCACUUUCUGAAUACUUGCAAAUUCAUCCAGUGUUGUCAUUGAGAUGCCAAUAUGUAAAGGAGCAAUAGUUGCCCUUGAUAGUAUGCUUAUUGAUUGCCUCUUGCCUCACUCAGCCUAAGGAAUCUGGUUGUAUGGUGUUCUUGUAAUUUCAUUUGGAGAUAAGUAAUAUCUGUUGUUCAAAUGUAUUUUAUAUACAAGCAGUUAAUAAUUCUGCUUGCAGAAAGCUUACAAAGGAGCUGUGUGAUGUAAUAGAAGACUACAGUCUGGUCAAUUUUUCAACCUUAGAUAUUCAGGUCAUCGGUUUCUCUUGAAUUCUUUCUUGAGUUUCUUUGAAUUAUUUGUGAAUAAGAUCUUAGUUGGCUGCUCCUCUUCAGGAUAAGGAAAGUGUGGCAAAACUCGUGAAGCUGAUAGAUAAAAGCAAUGGGUACAUCUUUGCUGGCAUGGAUGCCAGUGCAGUUGAAUUCAGCAAGAUUGCCGUUCGCGAUGUGGAUUGGGAUUAUUACAGAUAUCCUUCUUUUCACCUACUUUCAAUCUUGUGAUUCUCAUAUUCAUAAAACUUUUAUCUUUGAAUUAUUUGUGAUGUAAUAACUUGUGCAUUUGAGAAACUAAUUUUGCUGUUAGGCAGGUUUCAAUCUUGAUUCAUGUGUUUUUCAUAAAUGUACCAAAGUUAUGGAAACUUUUCUUUUUCCCAGAUAUUGUAUCUGCACUUUUUCCCAUGUAAUUGAGUCAGACAAGUUUUGCUUAACAAAGAUGUCUACAGUCGCUGAAGUGCAGGAGGAGUACAUUAAGGAUGAUGACAACAUUGAUUAAAAUGGGACGUGAAGAUAUAUGUUGUGCAAACCGUAAGCCUGCCUCUUACUUUUGUGCAUGUUUACUUGCUUGUGAUUCACGUUUGUUAAUCUAUUUUGCUAUCUUGCAGGAUUUUUAAAGUUUUCAAUCAAUCAAACAUUUAACUCAAGUCCUUAGCUCUUCACUGCUUGAAUGGUGGUUUUAAUCAAACCCCUCCUAAUUAUGAUGUAUGGCCCGAAUCUCGGACUUUUUGUACAAUAUCAAGCGAUUUUUUUUUAGUUGAAUCGGCUAGUGUACACAAAUGUCGAUUAUUGAUUUUUCUCUAGUAUUGUUUGUAAUUACAAGAAACGAAGUAAUGAAAUUUAUCACUGCGUUCAUAGUUAUGCUUAAGCUCAAAGAUCACUGUCAAGAUCAUUUUGGGGCCUCUAUUUGUUCUAUAACAUGAUGUUGACACAUGUCAAAUUAUGAAGCUUGUGAUUAAAAUACUUUUCACAUAUAUAUUUUAAGUACUAUUACUAAUUAAAUAUAUGAAUAAAUAUGGUCAAUGAGGAGAGGAUAAAAUAAAAUGGCUUCAUUUUUUGAAUUACUCAACUGCUUCAAACUUCUAAAAAGUAAAUAUACAAUGAGUGGAAUAUUGAAUUGAGUGCGAGCUGCGGAUAACUUAAAAAAAUUAGAAUACAAGCUUCAAGGAAAGUGUAUUACUAUUCAAAUGUUGAUUUCAAAUUAAGAAGAUAUGCCAGCAAAUUGUAUAAAAAUGUAUAAAUUGAUCAGUAACAUUAAUUCCAAAUGAUGAAAUGAGCUAUCUUGAUCAAAAGGUCAAGAACCUACCUUACUUUUCUUAGAUAUAACUUGCAUCAACCGUUGUGGUAUUGAUACUUAUCUUGAGCAAGUGAAAGUGAAAGUUUUCCAAUUGAAAGAAAGUGAAGGGAAGAUGCGAUGCUCUAAUUAUUAUUAUUACUGACGUGGUCGAGAAGUAAAGCCAUGCAUGUGAUGAAGCAUAAAUAAGAAAGCUAUGGCCCGGAAUUCAUUUUCACUAACACUUCAAUAUUCUUUUGAUCACUUUUGCAAACAUCAAUUUGUCUCUUCUUGUAUUCACCAUGGUUGAUGCCGUCGUUUCCCCUCUCGUGGAGCAGCUGAUUUCCUUCGCUGCUAAAGAGAUAAAACAACAGGUGAUCGAAGUUAUAUUAUAAAUACUUCUAAUGAUUUUAAUUGGUUUUGUUUUAUCGAAAACAUUAUCUUUGCUUUAUUUUACUUAUUUAGUCAUUUUAAAUUUUGAAAUUUGAAUUGAAUUUAAUUAAAAGGUGAUGUGGUUAGUAACCACUUAUAUUUAUUUUGUUUCAUUUAUAUUCUCAAUAACUACCCAUAUUUUUUAUAACUUAUUGUAAUCCCGUGUCUAAGAAAUUAUCAAAACCCACAAUUUUAACUCUACAUAAAUAUUCUAUGUUGAGCUAAGUUUUUGCAUAACAUUCAAGUUUGUCAAGUAGUCAUUAAUUUAAUGUUUAGUAAAAACUUAUCUCUGAAAAAUUUCAUAAUUUUCUUACAUUCUUUGAGUUUGGUAAGUGACCUCAUAUAAUUUCUUUUCAAUUUAAAUUUUAAUUUGGUUUCUAUAUAGUCUCUUUACUUAAUUUGUAUCAUUUAUGAUUCUUAGAUUUUGGGCUCCAACUUUCUAGGAUUUGAUAGUCACAUUUUAUGGCAUGCUUGGAUUGAUUUUCAUGAUUUUUAGUACUCGUUAAGUGACUUAGAAUUUGAAAAACGUUUGAAAGGAAAUCUGUUUUACGGUUCUGUUUUAAUUGACCUUUUAGUGGAAAUAAGAUGCUUAUAACUUAAUGUGGAUGGUUCGCAAAAUCAUGAAAUUUGGAUAGGAUUCACUAGAAAUAUGAGACUCUCCAUAAAGUUUCAUAAUUUUUAUUGGGUCUGGGCUGUUACAGGUGAUGCUUGUGACUGGUGUCGAGAAGGAAGUGAAAAGCCUUACGAGCCACCUUCAAGCCAUUCAAGCUGUGCUCGAUGAUGCAGAGGAAAAGCAAGUGAAGGACAAAGCUGUUAGACGUUGGCUGGGUAGGCUCAAGUACGCAUCCUACGACAUUGAAGAUGUGUUGGAUGAGUGGAUCACAGAUAGACACAAAUUGCAAAGUGAGGGUGGCGUUGAU
rnacentral:lncRNA from 1 species